UUUUAGAAGUGAGAAAAUUUGAGUAUAAAUCAAUGGUUUAUUCAUUAGUUAUUGAGGUUUAAAUCUGUUAUAGGAAUUACUAGGAUUUAAUUUAGGAUUUGGUUAGGGUUUGGAUUAGGAUUUGGUUUAGGAUUUAUGGUUUGGAUUAGGAUUUGAUUUAGGAUUUAGGAUUUGAUUAGGAUUUGGUUUAGGAUUUAGGAUUUGGAUUAAGAUUUAGUUAGGAUCUUAUUUAGGGUUUAGGAUUUGGUUAGGACUUGAUUUAGGAUUUAAGAUAUGGAUUAGGAUUUGGUUUAGGGUUUAACAUUUGAUUUAAGGUUUAGGGUUUGGUUUAGUAUUUGAUUAGGAUUUGGUUUAGGAUUUGAUUGGGAUUUGGUUUAAGGUUUAUUUAGGAUUUAUUUUAGGAUUUAGGAUUUUAUUAGGAUUUAAGAUUCAAUUAGUUUUGGCCUAAAGUUUGAAUGAAGUUCAAUAGGAUUUUAACUAGAAUUAAAUUAAGAUUGAAUUGAGAUAUAUUUGAGUGAUAUUUGUGAUCCUUCUAAUAUUUCUUAAAGAAUUAUUAUUGUUUGUUUGAAAUUUCUUUGAGGUUUUUUGAAUUUGAUUAAGCUUAUUUAGCAUUAUUAUGGUCUAAUUAGAGCAUUAUUAGUAUUCUAUUAGAAUUAGGAUUUUGUUAUUGCAAUUUUUAUUCUUCCUUCUACAGCCACGUGUUCGAAGCAUUCUCAAGCAAGACUUCACGUAUUACGACAAUGCCAUUUUAAAUCUCCACGUAUAGCUCCAAUUUUAUUUGUGAAGAAAAAAGAUGGAUCAUUAUAGAUGUGUGUCGAUUAUCAAGGACUCAACAAAAUCACCAUCAAGAAUAGGUACUUGCUAUCUUUGAUAUUUGGAUUCCUUGAUCAGUUGAAUCAAGCUAAGAUCUAUAUAAAAAUAGAUCUACAAAGAACAUACAAUUUAGUAUGUAUCAAAGAAGGAGAUGAAUGGAAGAUUAUAUUUUGAACAAGGUAUGGACAUUUCGAAUCCAAUCUCAUGCCUUUUGGACUUACAAAUGCACUAAUAACAUUCCAACAUCUAAUGAAUGAUGUCUUUCAGGAGUUUUUAGAUGAUUUUGUUGUCUGUUACUUGGACUAUAUUUUAAUCUAUUCUAAGAAUAUAAAAGAACAUGAACUUCAUGUUCGUUGUGUAUUACAAAAAUUAAGAGAUACGAGACUCUAUGCCAAGAUAGAAAAGUAUGUAUUUCACACUACUCAAGUCAACUUCUUAGGAUACAUCAUUUCAAAUGAUGGACUUAUGAUGGAUCCUAAGAAAGUUCAAGCUAUUAUAGUUUGAAAAAUUUCAAAAAUGAUAAGAGAUGUCCAAUGCUUUUUGAGAUUUGUCAACUACUAUUGGAUCUUCAUCAAAGACUUCUCUCAAGUUGUAGCUCCACUUACACGUUUGACUUGUAAAGACAAACUUCAAUAGAAUGAAGAAGCAAAAGUAGUAUUUGAAGCCUUGAAGACAACCUUUGUUUCUGCACCAAUCUUAUAUUGCAUCAAUUUUUCUAAGCCAUUUUUUAUGGAAACAGAUGCAUGAGACUUUGCUUUGAGUGCCAUAUUAUCAGAAAUAGGAACAAAUGAUAAACUUCAUCCAAUAGCUUUUCAUUCCAAAAAAUUUUGAGUAGCCGAGAUCAACUAUGAGAUCCACGACAAAGAACUUCUUGUAAUCAUGGAUUUGUUUCAAGAAUGGUGCCAUUAUGUAGAAGGUGCUCCUAGUCUACUCACUAUGUAUACAGAUCACAAGAACCUUAAAUAUUUUAUGUUAGCACAUAUUUUGAAUCGUCACUAAGCCCAUUGGAGUAUGUCUUUGUCAAGAUUCGAAUUCAAGAUCACUUAUUGAUCGAGAAAAUAAUAAGGUUUGUCAGAUGUACUUUCUAGAUGAUACCUUGUACCAAAGGAAGGAGAUGCUGUUUUUGAUCAACAAUGAAUAAUUCUCUUGAAGCCAAAGCAUCUUCAUCUUCAAGCAAUGAAAUCAAUACUAAUUGUUGAUUCAACUUUCAUUAAGUAAGUUUAGUCAAAUAUGUCUUUUGAUUCUUUUAUUCAUGAUAUUAAGAAAAAUCCUUCAAAGUCUCAUGAUACUUCCAAGUUUGAAUUCAAAAACAAUCUACUAUAUUUUGAAAGACGCCUAUAUGUUCCAGAAGAUAAAGCUUGAUUAUGUGUUCUUCAAGCUCGUCAUGACAUUCUAGUAGUAAGACAUUUUGGAUACAAUAAAAUUUUAGAACUAAUGUCUAAAGAUUUUUGGUGGCCACAAAUUUGGAAGAAUAUAAAAGAUUUUGUUUACUCAUACAAUAUUUGUUCAAGAUCAAAAACUCCUCGUCAUUGACCUUACAGACUUCUUCAACCAUUAUCUAUUCCAAAACAACCAUGGUCUUCUGUUUCUAUGGAUUUCAUCAUGGAUCUUUCAAUCUCAGAUGCUUAUGAUUCAAUAUUCAUGAUAGCAGAUUAUUUGACAAAGAUGGCUGUAGAAUAAGUAGUUAUUUUCUGAAUGUAGAUACCUAGUGUAUAGUAUAAAGAGGGAUAGAUAACUGCUAAAAAGAUGGUUUAAGAGAUAGAAUGGAUGAAUAGUCAAGAAAAGUAGUUAUCAUUUGUAGUAUAGGAGUUGAUAUCUCAGGGUAGUAUAAAGAGGAUGGGAGAGGGGAAGAAAAUGCCAAACUGCGAUAGUACUGAGCCGGGGAUAAGCUUGGUGCUAUCUCUUCUUCUUAGUUCUUGUUUCUUUUGUGUUAGUGUUCAUUCUAGGUUAAUUGCAUGACCCUAACAAUUGGAGCUCAUAUACAUGGUCUUUCCCUGUGUUCAAAUUCUCCUAUAUGGGUUUAUUCUGGGAGGUUUCUUCCAGAAUAAGUAAAACGACAACCACAUUUUGGCACCAUUGUCGAGGGUUGAUAAUAUUAUUGAGUAUUAGGAAUUAAUUGUUGAAGCAGUAAAGGAGAUUAGGAAGCAAACUGAAUAGAAAUAAUGAAAGAGUAUGGUUAUUAAGAAUGAGAAUUUAAUAGCAAAGAGAAUAAAGUAAUCCAAGGAAAGAAUAAAGCGAUUGCAAGCAAGAAAUUUGUUGCAUAAUGAGCGAGAUUGCAAAUUAAAAAAGAAGCAUCGAUAAAGUUGGAUUAAGCCGUAGUUGCAUGCCUGUCAACAUAUUCGAUCGUAUCCAAAAGAUGAUCGACCUCUAAUAUUUUAGAAGUACAUACCGUUAAAGAAAUUGCCAAGAACACUCGCAAAGAGUGCUGCUAAUAGUCCAGCAUACCUCUCGAAGCCAUUAACAAAAAAUGAGGAAGGCACAGAGAAAUUAGGUACUCCACUGGGUAUUUUUUCAAUUAGAAAUACGUCCGAUCCUAACAAGACUGGUUCUGAAGAUCGGCAUAAAUCACUUGUCAAAAAAGACCAAUUCAGAGUAUAUCAAAACCUGUCAUUUUCACCUCAUAUUCAACCAAUAAAAUUAUUUAGAGAUAAUAAUAAUCAAUCAAAAAGGCGUAGAAGUUCGAAAAAGACUUUUACGGGAGACAAUUUUUAUUUUAAUAAGGAAUUGAGUGAAACACCGACAUCUUUAAUGAUGUUCGGAGGACCAGUAGUUUUGAUUGCAGUUCAAAUGGGUGUAGUGGGCGAUCGAACGACUAGCAUCGCACCAUUACCUACUUUUUGAAGUUUGCCAGGUGUGAAUCCAGAUCAAUAUUUGUUUCAAUUUUUGACAACGUGUGUAGCCAUUAAUGGAAGAACAUAAGACAUUUGGCUGAGAUGGCUACUAGCAACAUUGAAAGACACCACAUUUGAGUGAUACAAUCGCCAACCUGUGGGACAAUUUAUUAAUUGGGAGACAUUGAAAAAUACAUUUUUAGCCCAUUUUCGACCAAUUGGUUUUAAAAAACGUCUUAGAGAAAAAUUAAUGAAUAGUAGAAUGGUACCAGAGAAAGCGGUACAGUCAUAUUAUGGUUGUGUAGCAGAUAUACUUUGAAAUUGGCCAAAUAACCAAAUACCAAAAUCGUUUGUGUUGUCCAUAUUGGUUAAUGGACUAUAUCCACCAAAAUUGAAGAUGUUUGUAAAAGAGGUCCAAUCAACCACCAUUGCAUCAUCUCUUGACCAAGGAAAAGUAUGGGAGGAAUGUCACUAUGAGUAGAACUUAAUAGUUGGAGCCACGAUGAUUCCAUCUCAAGGAGGUUAUCAAAUGACAAAUUGCAAUGACGCAUCAGAAAGUUAUCUGGGAAGGAAUGAUUAUGGUACAAUUCCACAGGGAAUAGUGGAUGCCGUUCCAUUGUAAGUUAUACCACCAUCAUCAUCACACCCAUAUGCACCUUAUUUUAUGUAUCAAAAAUGAAUACUUAUAAAAAAAUUGCCAAAUGCAUUGGUAUCAAGAGAUCCCAAUGAGUCAUUGCUAUUAAUAUUGAUGAAAAAAAUGGAUGAAUUGGAUGUGAAUCUGGCUAAAGAUAAAAAAAAAGGUAUAAACCAAGCAAUAUGCGUUCCAAUGUUUAGUACAGCAAUUGUAAGGGACAAGGUCAUUUAGUAAUAGAAUGUCCUUCACCACCCCAAAUGAUUGUACAAUGUAUCUUUUGCGGGGGCAAGCAUAUUACCACCAACUGUUGGAAUUUAUAGAAGCAACAACAACUCAAUAACCAAAUAAUGAUUCAACCAAAUUCAUGGGAUGUCAAUCAAGUACAGACGAAUAAUAGGUUUGGCUGGAAUGGAAAUCGAGCGAAUAAACAAAAUAGGAAUUAUUCCAAUUUUCUAAACUCUGAAUUUUACUAAAAAGGUAUAUCCAAUACUCAAGGAUUGGCAAUGAACCAACCAGGAUACCAUCAAUAUCCACCCAUGACGAAGCCAAUGCCAGAUUCUACAGUAACAAUGGGUCAAUUAAGAUCCUUUACUCAUCCGACAUGGAACAGACCUAGCCGUUAUAUACUAGUAGAGACACCCAUUAUCCCUAAAGGAGUUGGCAAGAGACCACUUUGUUGCUAUCAUUGCAGACAAAUCAUACAUUAUGCGAGUGAAUGUCCUAAUCCAAGGCCCAGUGAUGACUAUGCUCCAAUAUGUAGAAAUUGUAAGUAGUCUGGUCACACUUAUCAGCAGUGUAAUGCACCCUUUAAUUAUAAUAACUGGGACCAACAAAUGCAAAUAAGCCAACCGACGGAGGACAAAGGCCCUAUUCAACAAGACUUACUAGUACAUCGUGUUGAGGUGGUGAACACAGUGCUUACCAGAGGCCAACAAAAAGACAAGAAUCCAAUUUAGGACCUAGAUGAACCAAUCGCAGGAGAGCAAGUAGCGCCGUCCAUGAGGCUAAAUGAACCAAUAUCAGUAUUGGAGCGUAUCUCAAUAUUGAGACCUCAACAGAUUGAGGAACCCAAUUCAGUCCAACGUGCCAAUUUGCCAGGACCAUCAAGAUCGAUUCCAACUAACCAAGUACCAAUACAUGUAUAGCCCAAUAAAAGAUCUUACGCAUUAAAAGAACCUUUAGUGGUAGAAAAGUUGGCGAAGUUACCAACGGCAAUCCCAAUCACCAAGAAGGAAUUGCUCUCGAAUGGAAUAAAAUUAAAACCAAUGAAAUGCAAAAGAGUAUUGGGAAUUACUCUCAAUAUGGAACACUAUGACAUUCUGAAGGAUUUGGAUAUUAUUCAGCCUUCAAUUACAAUGAAGCAACUUUUGGCUGUAGCACCGGAAUGUCGAUCUACAUUGAAUUCAGCAUUAAUAUGAUGAAGAUCCCACACUAAAAAAAUUCAUGAAGUUAGCUUAAACCUAGAUCCGGGAGCACCAACAAUCGAUGUAUCAAUCGAUGGCAUUUUAAUUCCAGGGGUACAAGUUGAUGGUGGCUCCAGUGUGAAUUUAAUGAACGCGGAUACAAUGGAGGACUUAGAUCUAAAGCAAUUGCUACCUACGACAUUGGUCUUAUAAAUGGCAGAUCAUAGUUGGAUAAAGCCAAUGGAAAUCUUACGCAAUAUUGCCACUGUAAUCGUGGGAUUGACAUACAAAAUUGAUUAUAUUGUAUUCCAAUUACAGAGUUCUACAUUAUUGUAUCCUAUUUUAUUGGGCAGACCUUGACUUUAUCAAGCCAAAGCUAAGAAUGAUUGGAGCCGAGGCACAUUGACAACUGGAAAAGGCCGGGACCAAAUUGUUCUACAGAUGUAUCUGUUCAAUAUCAUAGAGAACCUCAAUUGCCAGAAUGAGAAUUUAUAUCGGACAAUAAGAGUCAAUCGAUUGAGGCAGAUGACAAUGCUAUAGGUUCACUAUAAUUUGAGGUAGGACAAAAUACUUCAACAGCAAAGAUAGGAGUCUAUCAAUGUGGAGGUCCCGGUGAAUAUUUACUACAUCAAGAGGAUGCAACUAACUCACAUCAUGCUAUUACCAAAUGGAUGAAUAAUCUCACAAUCAAUAGAGUUAGUACAUUGAAACCAGAUUUGGAUGGUUUCCAUAUGUCAAAUAAUAUAAGAUAUUCAGAUCAGGAGAAGACAAUUAAAUUAGAGGUUGUUGAAGACCGUGUAUGUCAAUCUAUUAACAUGGGCACCAACGAAAUGCCACAGCUAAUUACAAUAUAUGCCAGUAUUAUCAGUACAGAAUUGGAUGCUUAGAAAUAAUUUUUUAUCCAUCACAAAUCUACCUAUGCAAGAUUUUCAAAAGUUAAAUGCGGCUACUAAGAAGGACUAUUUUCCGUUAUCAUUUACAGACAGUAUUUUGGAUGCAGUGGCCAGACAUGAAUGUUACUCAUUUUUGGACGGAUUUUUGGAGUAUAAUCAAAUUAAAAUUAUUAAAGAAGACCAGUUGAAGACUACAUUUACCACGGAUUGGGGCACAUUCACCUAUAAAAUAAUGCCAUUUGGGUUAUGUAAUACUCCGACUACUUUUCAAUGGGUAAUGACACAAGUGUUUCAAGAUUACCUACGUUUAUUAAUGGAGAUAUUUCUGGAUGAUUUCUGCACGUUUAGCACAACGGCUGAACAUCUAGCAUACUUGGAUAACUGUUUGAAUCAAUGCGAUAAGUAUGGGAUAUCUCUAAAUUCAAAAAAGUAUCAAUUUGGCAUACCAUCGGGAAAGCUAUUGGGACACAUUGUCUCUGUUGAAGGUAUCGCUAUGGACUCCAAUAAAAUUACUCGUAUAUUAGGUUUACCAAAGCCAGAUACAGUGUCGGUCGUACGCAGUUUCAUGGGCCAUGUCAACUACUAUCGGCGUUUUAUUCAAUCCUUUGCGGUUAUUUAUCAACCGUUAACCCAAUUGUUAAAGAAACUCCCGUCAGAUGGAUCUAGCCCAAUAUAGACUAAAGAUUGUACUUUUGCAUUUGACGAAUUGAAAUGGAAAUUGGUAUCUGUUUCAAUUCUUGUAACACCUUGUUAGACAAAACCAUUUCAGGUCUAUGUGGAUGCGUCCAAUAUUGCUAUUGGAUCUAUUCUCAAUCAAAAGGAUGAAAAAGGAUUAUAUCAUCCCACGUAUUAUGCAAGCCAAUAAUUCAUUGCUGGAGAAUGAAAUCAUAAUACUAUCGAGCGAGAGGUCCUCGGAAUGAUCUACUCUAUACAAAAAUUCUGCUACUAUCUACUUGGAUACUCAUUUGUAUUCCACGUUGAUCAUGAUGCACUUAAGUACAUGAUAAAUAAACCUCAAUUGAGGGGACGAAUUGCUCGAUGGUUGUUACUUCUCUAGGAAUUUAACUUUAUGAUUAACGUUCGACCCGACAAGAAACAUGCCAAUGCGGAUCACUUAUCCCAUUUAUCUAAUAUACUAGGUAAUGAGCCAAUAAACAAUGCUCUUUCGGAUGCACAACUAUUUGUUGUGGAUGUCAUUACACCCAAAUAUGGUGAAUUGAUCCAAUAUCUAACAUUUCACACUUUUUUCAUUUCUUAUAAUAAAAAAUUAAAGAAGCAUUUGAUUUUAAAAAGUACACCAUAUACCAUGAUUGGAGAUGCCUUGUACAAACAAGGGAGGGAUGGAAUUUUACGCCGUUGCAUCUUUCAAAGUGAAGUUCGUAUAAUUUUAGAAGGAUGUCAUUUAGAUAGUUGUGGUGGACAUUUUGCGGGAGACAGUACUGCUCACAAGGCUUUAAUGGCUGGUUAUUGGUGGCCCACAAUGUUUUCUGAUGCACACCAAUUUGUUCGUCAUUGUGAUCCCUGUCAAUGAAUUGGUCGACCCACGGGUACUUCAGUGAUGCCGUUAGUAUCAAUCUUGGCAUAGGCACCAUUUGAGAAAUGGAGAAUUGAUUUUGUUGGACCCAUUGCACCAGCAUCGAGACAUGGACAAAAGCAAUAUAUUCUAGUAGCCACAGACUAUGUAACCAAAUGGGCAAAGGCCAUGGCAACAAAAACUAAUAAUGCCAAUACUGUAGCAACAUUUUUAUAUGAGAACAUUAUCACUCAUUUUGGCUGUCUGAAAGAAUUGGUUAGUGAUCGUGACACACAUUUUCUUAAUGCUACAAUUCAAGCAUUAACAGUGAAGUAUGAGAUUAAGCAUCGCAAAACUAUACCUUAUCAUCCACAAGCCAAUGGACAGACUGAAAAGACAAACAGUAUCCUAUGCAAGAUCUUAACAAAGACUAUUUCAAGAACAGGAAUCGAUUGGGACACUAAAUUAUUUGUAACUUUAUGGGCAUAUCGUACUAUGUAUAAAAUAAUUACCUAUUCUAUCCCAUUUCAAUUGGUAUAUGGUCAGGAGGCAAUUCUACCAAUUGAAUUGGAAGUCCAAAGUUUACGAAUUACAUUGGAUGAACGUCUGGGAGACAGAGACUCUCUUCAAUAUAAGUUAGUCCAAUUAGAGAAAUUGGAUGAAGUUAGGGCUACGGCUCUCUUGAUCAUGGAAGCUACACAACAUCGUAGAAAGAGUUAUUACGACAAUAAGUUACGAUCGAAAUAUUUUAUGCCCAAUGAUCUGGUGCUACUUUAUGAUAGCCACUUUAACAACUUUCCUAGUAAUUUUCAAGUACGAUGGCAGGGACCAUAUCGGGUGGUGGAAGGUUUUCCUAAUGGUUCCGUUUAAUUGGAAAAUUUUUUGGGAACCCACUUUACAACACGUAUUAAUGGAAACCGGUUACAUCUAUAUUAUAUGUAAAUCCGGGACGGGUUUACUCAGUGGAGGGAAGAAGUCUCUGUAAUAAUGAUUACCGACAGGAUUGGAAAGAUUGUGAUAGUUAGGAAACGAUUGAUGGUUAGUUUUGGAUACUAGUCAGGAACUUAGUCAUUCUUGAUUAGACAUGAGAUUAAGGUACACUGGAUUAGAUAUUCUUGAUUCGGAUCCCGAGUAAGUAGUUAGGAGCGGGGCACUCAUAGAAGGUUUCAUUGUUACAAAUUUCAAACAUUGUGCUUUGAACUGUAAGCUUUAUGACAGUAAUCAACAAUAGUGUUAGCGAGGAAGUAUUGAGAGUUUGAUUUUUACAAUGUCGAUAGAAAGAGUGAAGAGACCACCAAAACGAUUGAAAAAUCACCGCAAUGUGAGGUCUAAGUGCGAUCUGGGAUCGCCGUCUCUUGUAGUUAUCACCAACAUGGAACCGAUGAAGUUAGAUAUAUGUUGGUCAUUGAAAAGGCAAUUUUUUUUUAGAAAUGCACAAUUAUUUAUAUUUUUGUGAGGAUUGGAUAAACUACCACCAAUUGAUGUAGAACGAGUGGCAGAAUAUAUAGAAAAUUAUGAUCUAGAGGAUGGUUCGAGUGUAGUAAGAGGAGUCCUAAUUGGGAUAGAUGAGAAUAUCUUACACAAGGUUUUACAUUUAUCAAGCGGAGAGCUUGAGGUGGGAGGAGACACGUCAAAUGAUUUCAAGCCAGAAAGCUACUUCAAAGGAGGGAUGUCGUUUCUCAAGCAAAAUCAAGGAUGGGAGGUACAUGAGGCACUUACACCCAAACUUAUGAAAUGGAUGCAGUUCGUUCAGAAGCGGUUAGCAUUGAAUCGGCAUACCACCUACAUGGCGAAGUGAUUACUAUUUUCUGCGAUAGGAACAUUGGAAGGCAUGGUAUUCAAUUAGGCAGCUUAUGUGGCCACAAGGAUACAUGCAGAAAUGGGAGCUAAGCGAAAGACGGGGAAGUUUGCUUCACUAUUAUGUUCCAAUUAUGUAAACUCAGUGAUUGAGUAUACAUUGAAACAGGAAUCUCAACCAGUAAUUCCAAGUUUACAAAUGGGAACAGUUAGUCCAAGUGUAAUGGUGUAUGAAGUGGGAGAAUUCAGCAGAGCAGCAGAACGAGAAGCAAGACCAAUAUCUAUAUCAGAGUGGGUUCCAAUUCGGCUGACAAUAGAGAUGAUGACAUGAAUACCAAUUCCAAGGGAAAGCAACCAAUUAGGGUUUCAAUGGCAUAUAACGGAAUGGUGGAAUCUUAAGGAAGUUAUAUUGAGUCAAAUUUCCCAACUGCAACUUACGAUGAGUAAGCUCGAAGAUGAGGGUAGCUUAAAAAGGUAAGUGGAAGCGAGCAAGAAAAUAAUAUUGGAACAAAAUUAUAAAAUCAAGGAACAUGAACAAGUCAUCAAGGUAGAAUCGAAAUCCAAGAUACAAGUGAAAUGUGAAUUGGAUGAGAAAGUGAAAAACUGAUCAAAGGAAAAACAGAGGAUUCAGCAUAUCCAGAAAAAUCAAAGGCAAGAAUUACUACAAACUUACAAAUUAUAUAGAUUGAAAUAGGAGAAGAUGAAUGCUCAGUUGAAGAUGGAACGAGAGAAGAAGGAGGCAUUGGAGCUUGAAAAGAAAUAAUUGGAUGACCAAUAUCGAAACAAUACGGAUGAGCUACAAGCAGAAAUUAUUAUUUUGAAGGAAACAAUAACGAAAUUAGAGAGUGAUUUGGUCAAUAUUGGUCAAUCACAAACAUUUGCUUCAACAGAAAUAAGAAUUGGAAAAUUGGAGGAGAAAUUACAACAACAGCAGCAACAACUGGAAGUUAAAGAUGCUAGAAUCUUCGAAUUGGAAGCUCAGGUUCGAGAAUUGGAAGCGUAUAAUGAAGAUUUAAUAGCUCAAUUAAGGACAGAGAUUCAGGGUGAAUCGGAAGAAGAAGAUAUAGUACUGGAACAAGACCAAAUGGAGCCAGUGCCAGAAAUCGAAGAGAUUGAACAAUCCAGUUAAAAAAAAGAAAGAAAAGAUUGGUUUUUGUUUAUCAAUACUGUGUUUGUGGGGAUGCUGCAUAGUUAGGAGUGGGGCUAUGUAGAAUAAGUAGUUAUUUUUAGAAUAUAGAUACCUAGUGUAUAGUGUAAACAAGGAUAGAUAACUGCUAAAAAGGUGGUUUAACAAGUAGAAUGGAUGAAUAAUCAAGAAAAGUAGUUAUCAUCUGUAGUAUAGGAGUUGGUAUCUCGGGGUAGUAUAAGGAGGAUGGGAGAGGGGAAAAAAAUGCUAGACUGUGAUAGUACUGAGCCACGGAUAAGCUUGGUGCUAUCUCUUCUUCUUAGUUUUUUUGUUUCUUUUGUGUUAGUGUUGAUUCUAGUGAAAAAAAUCGAUUUAAUGAAUUAAUGUUUGAUUUAUGAAGUUAUUUAUGGAUCACUAUUUAUCAAUUGUUGUGAAAGAUUGAGGAUGUAUGGAAGUUUCCAGUCACUGUUUAUCGCAAGGUUGUAAGUUCAGUGGAGAGGAAUUGUAAUUGAAGAAAUUGUCUUGAUCAGAUUCUGUGGAUUGGAAGUUGUUCGUUCCAGAGUUUGGGAUAUGCUUGUGUGUUUGUGAAUUACACAGGAUACUGAACUCGUUGUCGUGGAUGUUAUUGUAUUGAUAUGAGAGAGUGGACAGUAGGAGGAAAAGUUAAGUGUUCUUCGGUAUGAUAAGCAUUCAGCAGUAGCAGUUAAUUGCGUGACCCUAAUAAUUGGAGCUCAUAUACAUGGUCUUUUCCUGUGUUCGAAUCCCCCUAUACGAGUUUAUUCUGGGAGGUUUCUUUCAGAAUAAAUAAAAUGACAACCACAAUGGCAUAUUUUGUACGAUGUAUAAAAUCUAUCACAGGUGAAUUAAUAGUUAAGCUCUUUCUUGACAACAUCUAUCACUAUUAUGGAUUAUCCAAAGAUAUUAUAUCAAAUAUAGGAAUUCAGUUUGUAUCAAGAUUUUAGCGGAUUCUUUUCAAGAUUCUAAAAGUAAAUAUAAAAUUAUCUUCGGCAUUCCAUCCUCAAACUGAUGGACAAACAUAGCAUGUUAAUCAAGUUUUGGAACAGUAUUUAAGAUGUACCAUCAACUACCAAUAAGAUAAUUGGACAACUCUUUUGCUAUUGGUAGAAUUUUCUUAUAAUAAUAUAAUACAUUCUUCUAUUAAAAAAAUACCUUUCUUUGUCAAUUAUGAUUAUCAUCCAGGACUUGAUACUUUUGACUUUUCAAAAGUUGAUAAUCAUGUAGCGGAAGAUUUGGCAAAUAAUUUGUCAUAAUUACAUGCAACAAUGAAGACGCAGUUUAAAGAAGUUUAAGAAUAACAAAAGAUCAAUGCAGAUGUCUAUUGAAAGGAACAACCACCAUUCUAUACAGGUGACAAGGUAUGAUUACUUUGUCAUAAUAUCAAGACUACUCAUCUUUGUCACAAGUUGGACUAUCAUAGACUUAGACCAUUUCCUAUUUCUGUACAAAUCAAUUCAAUUGCAUAUCGUUUCUAGCUACUGGAGUCAAUGAAAAUCCAUCCAGUAUUUAACGUGUCUCUUCUUAAACCAUACAAGAUAGUAGACAUACUAAGAAGCAGACAAACUCCACCUCUUUAUAUAGAAGUGGACAAUAAUAAAGAGUUUGAAGUCAAAGAAGUCCUACAUUCCAGGCGGCACCAAAAUAAAUUAAAAUAUCUUGUCUAUUCGUGCAUAUAUGGUAUUAGUGAAUGUACAUGGGAGCCAAUAAAGAAUCUUGUAAAUGCAGCAAAUGUGGUGGAGGCUUUUCAUCAAUGACAUCCAUCAAAAUCAAAAUGAAAAUCUUUCUUGUAAAAGAAACAAGAUCUAGGUAAGAUAGCAUUCUACUUUCAAUCUUUUUUUGUAGCUUCUUUGUAGUUGUGAUACUAAAGAGAUAGAGAACCAACAACCAAUGGGUUUGAUUGAAGAGCCUUUGUUUGCUGACCUACCGGAUGAGACAUUACAAUUGUCACAACUUUUAAGACGACGUAAUUAAAAUUAAGAUCCUCAAGAACAACAUAUUCUUUUUCAAAUAGAUGGCGAGAUACAAUAUUGUUGUAUGACAUGAUUUGCUAUGUGGGAAUAUAUUGGAUAUCUAGCUGUAGAGAGUUUAGCUUAAACCUUUAUAUGAAUUUUAUCUUAGCUUCCAAAACUCCUUUGAUUUUACAUAAAAUUCAAAAUAUAACAAAAUCCCUUCAAAACAUAUUUUUCAUGCAAAGGAUUUUUUUGUCUCAAAACUUAAAAAUUCAUAACUCUUGAUUUAGUUGUUCAAUUUGUCUUAAAUUUAUAGGAUAGGUAGAAUUUAUCCUUAAAUUUUACCACAAAAAAACCAACUACAAAUUCACUCUCAAGCUUUUGGCAUCUAAGAAAUCCUAGUAGAUGCUCUAAAUUCUAAUUUACAAGUACCUGAGCACUAUUUUCUUAAUAUCUCAAGAAUCCAAUACUCAAAUGUCAUCAAACUUAUGUACAAAGUUUAUUAACAUGUAUUUACACAUUCUAUGAAAUUUUGAGCCAAAACCUUAUUAAUUUGCAUAAGAUAUAGCUCAAGACACAAUCUUUAGUAAAUCAGAAUACUUACUACCUUUAAAUUGCAUGUGCUGACUUCAAAUCCAAUAACUCCUUUAUUCCAACUUGGAAUCCAGCAAGCAAUUGCAAAAAGUGUAGCCGCAAAAGUGCUCUCUCCAGUCGCAAUUGCCGAUCUUCAAUUGCCCUCUAUACGCGUGCGUUAUGUCAAAAAGAAUGAUAGUAGCUCCAAAAUCAACACCUUAACUUUGAGCGCCUAUAUCUCCUUCAUAUAAACUCCAAAUCAUACAAGUUUUGCACCAAAAAUAUAGCCAAAAACCUAAACUUGCUGAUUCUAGCCUUCAAAGCUCAAAUGAUUCCGAAAAACUAACCCCAAUCUCUAAUAUGGCCUUCGGCAGCCUCCUCAAAGCCCAUUGGUCAUGAUUUUUGACUAAUAGGAAUAGAGAUUUUCAACAUCCAUCUCCAUUCAUCUAUAUUGAUGCCCUAAUUACUCCCUUUGCUACCAAAAUCGUUCUUCAAUCUUUUUUUUUAUAAGAUUUAUAUAAUUUAUACUCUAAAUACCAAAUAAAAGAACCAAAAUAAGUUUUUAAAUGUCACUAAUGUCUAACAAAGGUGAUUCUAAAUAUUUAGAAGUUACUAUCAACCAAAACCAAUCUUAAAAGCUACUAUCAAAAAAAAAUUAAAGUUAUACAAACUCUAUAGUAAUCUUUUUUAAACACCUCUUUUCAAGAUAAUAAUCAAAUUAUAUUCUACAACCAACCAAAAUCUAAUAACAUGGCUCUCACCAUGUUACUUAAUAAACUAUAUAUUAAGUAGAUAAUUACAUUAUUUUUAUAUAGUAUCUGAACCAUAACAUGACAACGUAUUUGGUAUUACAACCUUGGAAGGAAUUCUUGACGUUUCGUGAUUUUAUUAGAUAUAGGAACAAUUCCUGACAAUAUUCAAAACGUUUUAUUUGAAGGAAGUUAUGAAGGUGCCAAUAGAAAUAAAAAAAUUGGGUGGUCUUUUUGUCCUAAUAUAAGACACUAUCAAUGAUUAAGAGGUCCUAUCAAUCAUCUUCGAAGAGAAUAAAGAUUAGAGUAUGUGACAAAUAUAAGUUGCCGUAUCUUAGACUUCCUCGACAUGUGAUCAUCACUCCUCAUGGAACUCGUCCCUAGAUGGAGGGAUAAUAUCACAGACAUAUAUUUAUUGUAAUUAUUAUCUAAGUAAUAUGAAUAGAUAGAAGUAGGUAAAAAUAGAUUAAUUUCAUAAUAUCUUCUAGAGAAGCUUCUUAGAAGCUUUAUAAAUGCUGCUUUGACUUUAGAUAUAUUUAUACUUUAUAAAAAGGUUAGAAACUUGGUCAACAAGUUAACUACAUAUUACACAUGUUGGUAGCUUAAAGAACAAGCUAACCAUGUGGCCUACACGUAAAAAACUUAUCUUGUAAGUUAAGGCAUAUAUCCUACAAAGUCAACUCAUAUUAGAGGUCCUAUAGAAUAUCGCCACAUAGCUUUUAGUUAGAUAGUAAAUAUAGAGGUAAGAGCGAAGCUCUCUUCAUUCUUUGUCAACUUCUUUUUUACUUCUACUUUAGAUUUAAGAGUCUCUAGUUUCCUUAUUAUUUGACAAUAGCCAUUAUAGUUUUUUUUUUAAUAUACAUAUUACUUUAUUUUUAUUUUGUCACUAUUUUUUUGAUAUAGAUUUCUCAAGUUUAUGCAUCAUCUUCUAGUUCAUGUCCUUGACAGAUUGAUAAGAGUAAAUUUAUAAUAUAAGAGCUUUAUCUUUUUUUGAUUAAGAAUGGAUUAUUUUUUUUUUUUUGAUAAGACAUAAGUGUAUUAAAAAUUGUGAAUUACUUUCUUUUAAACUAAUAUUAUUCUUAGUAUCUUCUUUGUUCUCAAGUCCCUUCUUCUACUUGUCUUGAGUAAUAUUAGACACUUAUUUUUUAAGUAUUAUUAUGGCAAAGCUUCUUGAAAUGAAAAGUGCAAUGGCACAAAUGCAAGAGCAAUUGAGAGAGUUAAUGCUUACAAUACAUCAAAUUAAUUUACCACCACAAGGAGUAACAAAUAUGGUAGGAAGAGAUGAUAUAGAUAUGAUUGGAGCUGCUACAACAUCUACAUCUAAUCAUGUCUCUUUUCCUAUACUGUAACAUCCUUCCGGUACUAAAAAAUCAAGAGUUCCCUUAUUGAGAAGUUUGAUAGUAUAAGAUCCAAGUUUCAAAGAUUAAUCAAUCAAGUACAACUUGUGAUUGAACUUCAAUACCAAAGCUAUCCAAAUUUAAGAUCACAAGUUAGAUUCAUUGAUAUACUUCUUUUAGGUUCAGCAUUACUAUGAUUUUUAUCUUUUCUCGAAUGACAAGAUCCAAUAUUGGAUAAUUUGAGAGUUUUUUUUGGCAAAGUUUCAAUCCAUAUAUGGAAAACAUGAUACAACUUGAGUUUCAACCAACAAGAUCCGUAUUUUACAACAAGGCAAUCAAUCCAUAAUAUUAUAUGCUUCAUAAUUUUAAUAACUUGUAACAGAUAUCUAAUGGGAUGAUGUUACACUUAUUUGCCAAUUUUUCUAUGGAUUAUAAUAUGACAUAAAGAAAUUGAUGUUCAACUUACUUGAUCCUUAAACAUUGAGUCAAGCAAUUAACUUUGCUAUAAAGUAUGACAAUCAACUUUUUGAAUUUUGAUUCGAGAGUCAAACAAGUGAGCGUCAACAUUACCAUAAUUCAAGGGCAACACUAUUGCCUCUUCAACACAUACAUUCAGAAGUAGACGAUAUAUAAAUUAAUGCAAUAUGUUUUAAACUCCUUAUUGAGCAAAAAAGACUCAUUGUCAUCAUGAAGGAUUGUGCUUAUAUUGUGGAGAACCUAAACAGAUUAUUUAAUAUCAUCUAAAGAAUAAAGCAAUUAUAAAAUAAAGAGUAUAAAUAUCAAAGAAGAUAAUAAAUCAAAAAACGAGUUUGUCCAACUAUAAUAGGGAUUGUGCAGUUGGAACCUUAUACAAUACCUAAUAAAGGUCCUAUUCUUUCUUCAAAAUCUUCUCCUUGUUUUACAUUAAAUAUUAUUUUAGGACCUAUAUAUUACAAAGCCUCUACCUUGUUAGAUUCAGGAGUCUCAAUGUAUUUCUAAGAUGAAGAAUUAGCUAAAAGUCUUAACAUAUCUUUAGUAAGAAAAACUAAACCUAUUCAUGUAGAAGUCAUAGAUGGUUGCCUGUUGUCUUUUGGAGAUAUUACUCACAAAAUCCUUUCCAUAGAGGUAAUAAGUAAUGAUCAUAAUAACUUUGUAGUAUUUAAUAUCAUUAGAUCUCCUUUUAAUCUAAUUAUUUUAGAUUUAUCGUGGUUAAAAAAAUACAACCCUCGAAUUGAUUGGAUUUCUCUUAUUCUUGACAUUUUUAAAAGCAUAAUUAAGAGUGUAAUUAAUCAAGUAAAAAAACACAAGUCUAGUACAAUUAAACCUAUGUUUGUAGGUGCAAGAGCUUUCUUGCAUGCUGCAAAAGAAAGAUCACCUUAUGUCAUUUAUGCCACACUUGUUUCUAAUGGUUCAAAGACUUUAAGUGGUAUUCUAAGCCAAUAUCAAGAUUUUUAAGAUGUAUUUGAAAAAAAAAAUGUGGAUACUCUUCCAAAACAUCAUUCCUAUGACUACUCAAUUAACCUUCAAGAAGGAACACAACCACUAUUUGGACCAAUCUAUAAUUUAUCACAAAAUGAGUUAGCUGAAUUUAAAGAAUAUAUUGAAGAAAAUCUAGUUAAGAACUUCAUAUACUAGUCCAAAUUUCUAGUGGGAGCUCCAAUUUUAUUUGUGAAGAAAAAAGAUAGAUCAUUGCAGAUGUGUGUUGAUUAUCAAUGAUUCAACAAGAUCACCAUUAAAGACAAGUACCUACUACCUUUAAUAUCUCGACUUUUUGAUUAGUUGAAUCAAGCUAAAAUCUAUACAAAAAUAGAUCUAUGAGGAACAUACAGUUUGGUAUGCAUCAAAAAAAGAAAUGAAUAGAAGAGUAUAUUUCAAAUCAGGUACAGAUAUUUUGAAUAUAAUGUCAUACCUUUUGGACUUAUAAAUGCACUAGCAACUUUUUAACAUCUUAUAAAUGAUGUUUUUCAAGAGUUUUUGGAUAAUUUUGUUAUUUAUUAUCGAGAAAACAUCUUGACCUAUUUUAAGAAUAUAGAAGAAUAUGAACUUCAUGUUUGUUGUGUGUUAUAAAAAUUAAGAGAUUUGAGACUUUGUUCCAAGAUAGAAAAAUGUAUAUUCUAUACUACUCAAGUUGACUUCUUAGGUUAUAUCAUUUCAAACAAUGGACUUAUGAUGGAUCCUAAGAAAAUUCAAACUAUUAUGGAUUGAAAGAUUUCAAAAACGGUUUGAGAUGUCUAAUUUUUUUUGAGAUUUGCUAAUUAUUAUCAGAUCUUCAUUAAGGACUUCUCUCAAAUUGUAAUUCCAUUUACACAUUUGACUUAGAAAGAUAAACUUCAAUAGAAUCAAGAAGCAGAAGCAGCAUUUGAAGCUUUAAAGACAAUCUUUGUCUCUAUACUAAUCUUGUAUUGCAUAGACUUCUCUAAGGCAUUUUUUAUGGAAAUAGAUGCAUCAGACUUUGCUUUGAAUGCUGUAUUAUCACAAAUGAGAAUAGAUGAUAAACUUCACCUGAUAGCUUUUUAUUCUAAGAAAUUAUUUGUAAUCGAGAUUAAUUUUGAGCUCCACGACAAAGAACUUUUUGCAAUUAUGGAUUCUUUCUAAGAAUGGCAUUAUUAUCUAGAAGAUGCUUCCAAUCCAAUUAUCGUAUAUUUAGAUCACAAGAACCUCAAAUAUUUCAUAUCAAUUCAUGUUUUGAAUUGUUGCCAGGCUUGUUGGAGCAUAUCUUUAUCAAGUUUUAAGUUCAAUAUCUCUUAUCAGCUAAGAAAACAAUAAGGUUUAUUUGAUGCUCUUUUUAGAUGUUCUUAUCUUGUACUUAAAGAAAGAGAUGCAAUUUUUGCUCAACAAAGAAUAAUUUUAUUGAAGCUAGAAAUUUUUUAUCUUUGAGUAGUGAAAUUAAUAUUGACUAUUGAUUUAAUUUUUUUCAAAUAAAUUCAAUCAAGUAUGUCCUCUGAUCCUCUUAUUCAUGAUAUGAAGAAUAUUUCUUCUAAUUUUCAUGAUACUUCUAAGUUUGAGUUCAAUAACAACCUACUUUAUUUCGAAGGAUGCCUAUAUGUACUAGAAGGAGAAGUACGUUUACAUAUUUUUUAAGUACAUCACAACUUUUCAACAGCAAGAUAUUUUGAAUACAACAAGAUUCUAGAACUAAUAUCUAGAGAUUUUUGGUGGCUGCAAAUGUAGAAGGUUGUAAAAGACUUUGUUCAAUUGUGUGACAUUUGUUCAAGGUCAAAAACUCUUCGGCAUCAUCCUUAUGGACUUCUUCAACUAUUACUUAUUCUAGAACAAUCAUAGUCUUUUAUUUCUAUAAAUUUUAAUAUUGAUCUUUUAAUUUUAGAAUUAUAUGAUUCUAUAUUUGUGAUAGCAGAUCGUUUUAUCUAAAUGGUGUUAAAGUAAAAGUAGAAUAAGUUACCUUAUAGAGGAUAUUAACUUAGAUAAGUUGCUAGUGGUCAAAGGUUUGACUCUUGGUAUAUGGUAAGGACAUCCAAUGGAUAUAGGACGAAGUCAUGGAUCAAGAUUCAAAGUCAAAAGGAUAAAAUAUUAAUAAGGGAAUAUCCAAAGAGUAGGUAUAAGUCAUAAGUAUGUGUCAUAGGAUAUCCUCGAGUCUCGUGAGAUGCCAAAAGGAUCUUAGGACCAUGUGCAUAAAAGUCAAAGAGUGGAAGUUGUCUUUUAAAAUAAAAACUACUAUCUAUAAGUAAUGGGUAUCGAAAGUGAAAGAUAUCUUAUUUCUUACUCUCUUUGUGUGCAACCUUGCUGAUGCUAAGUAUUGUAUCUUCAAAGUGCUUGUUUUCUAAUAGAAUAUGAGGCCACUCACCUUUACUUGUGAGUUUUGAAGUACUUUGAAGUCUUUCUUGUUGUGAGAAAUAGAUCUUAUGGUUGUUACUGAAGUUUGAGUUUGCUCUUUUCUAACUCUUCUUAUGCAUGUAGUUGUUGAUGUUGUUUUUACUUUUACUUGUUGUUAAGUGCAUUGAUAGUCUUGGUUGUUGUUAGACUCCAUAUAAUGAUUUUUUAGGACUUUAGUAUUAUAUUUCUUUGCUGAGUUUCAUCAUUGGUGCUCUAACUUUUUGCUUUCAUGUACUUAACUUCAUAAGAGAUUUUUCUAUUUGUUAUAAGAAGUGUUUUAUGUGGUUAGAAAAAUUUUAUGAAAGAGGAGUGAUUGAAGAGUGGCAAAGCUUAUGCAAGAGGUUUAGAUAGAGUAUAAGACUUAUGAGAAGUCUUAUAUGUGAAGUUGAGAGUGAUACAAGAGUGAAAUCACUUGUAUAAUUACAAAGAGGGCAUUCUGGAUUUCCAAGGCAGCAACACCUUCUUGUUGAUUUUGAGAGUUCUAUCUUUUCUUUUCUUGAUUUUUUUUCACACAUUCCUUCCUUAAAUAUGGCUUCAACUGAAGGUGAAAGCUUGAGAGUGAUUGAAAAGUUUAGGGGUGACAACUUUUACCAUUGGAAGAAGAAAAUGGAGCUUUUGUUGGCUUCAUUGGACCUUUGGGACAUUGUUGAUGAAAGUGAAGACCCUCCAAGUGACAAUGCUGAUAUCAAGGUGAAGGAGUACAAAUGUCGUGAAAGAAAGGCUUUUGGGAUGAUUGCAACAAACCUUAAUGAUGCAAAUGAAUACUUUUAUGGUGUCAAAUGAACACUUGUAUGGUAUCAUGUGCAAACUUGAUGUAAAAGGUACAAAAUGUGUAUUUUUUGGAUAUUGUGAAGGUACCAAAGCAUAUAGGCUAAUGUGUUUAGAAACCAAGAAGAUCAUCAAAAGUCGUGAUGUAGAGUUCUUGGAGCAUAAGACUAUUUUUGAGCACUUGGAAGAAUGUCCAAGUGGGAGUAAAGGUGUGUUUGUGGAUACAUCUUCAAGUUCAACAAAGAAAUAAGAAGAAGAAGAAGAUGAUGAUGAUAAUGAGGAUGGAGGAAAUAGAAGUCAAGAUCAAGUGCCAAAGAAGGUAAAUCUUAGUAUACCUUCAAUUUCUAAAACUAACAAUGAAGACAAUGAAGAUAUUGAAGGUGAUGAUGAUGAAGAAUAUCAACCUUUGAGUGAGAAAAGACAAGCAUUGAAGAAGAAGAAGGUUGGAAGAGAGGAUGGAAUGCAAGAAGAAGGGUCUUCUUCAAAUGAAAGGAGAUAUCCUUUGAGAGAAAGAAAACCACGUGGUGAAUUGUGGAAGGACUACAUCUUUCCUCAAAUAAGUGAAGAACAUGACAAAGUUGUACUUCUUACUGAUCCAUUGAGUUUAUGUGAUGUAAUGAAGUCCACGGAUGCGUUGAAGUGGAAGAAUGCUGUAGAAGAAGUGUACAAAUCACUCAUGGACAAUGGAACAUGGAAAUUGACUCAACUUCCAUCAAAUCAAGCUUCAAUUGGUUGUAAGUGGGUGCUUAGAAUAAAGAGGGAUGCAAUAGAUAAUGUUGUGAGGUAUAAGGCAAGAUUGGUUGCGAAAGGCUACUCACAAGUUGCUAGUAUAGAUUUCAAUGAGACAUUUUCUCUCGUGGCCAAAUUCACCACCAUUAGAACCAUUGAGGCAAUUGGAGCAGCAAUGGAUAUGGAGAUGCAUCAAAUGGAUGUGAAGAUGGCUUUCUUGAAUGGAGAAUUGGAAGAAGACAUCUACAUGGAGCAACCUCAAGGAUUUGUUGGAAAAGAUAAACAACACCUUGUUUGUAAGUUGAAGAAAUCCUUGUAUGGACUAAAGCAUUCACCAAGGGCAUAGUACCAAUGUAUUGAUACAUUCUUUAUAAGUGAAGGAUUUGUAAGGAGUGAGGCUGAUCAUUCCUUAUAUGUGAUACAAUCAAAUAGGUUCAUAUUGAUUGUCAUCUUCUAUGUUGAUGAUUUAAUCAUCUUAAUCAAUACAUUGAAGAUGAUGGAUUGGUUGAAGGUAAAGUUAAAAAAGGAGUAUGAAAUGAGUGAUUUGAGAGAGCUCUACUAUUGCUUAGGAGUGGAGUUUGUGAGAGAUCGAGCUAAGAAGAUUAUUACAUUGAGCCAAAAGAAGUACAUUAAAGAAGUGUUGAAACGGUUCAAUAUGGAGGAGUGUAAGCCUAUUGGAACACCAUUGGAGGCAAACUUGAAGUUGAUGAAGCUCAUGGAUGAAGAGUUUGCUGAAGUUGAAGGUCAAAUGCAAGGUGUUCCAUACAAGACAGCAGUGAGCUCACUUAUGUAUGCAAUGGUUGGCACAAGGGUGGAUCUUACAUAUGCAAUAAGUGUUGUGAGUCAAUACAUGUCAAAGGUUGGACCAAUCCAUUGGGCAACCAUCAAAAGGAUCAUGAGAUACUUAAAAGGUACUUUGAACUUCAAAUUAUGCCUUGGAGGUGAUAACAUUAGUUUGCAUGAUUAUUGUGAUACGGAUUGGACUGGAGAUGCAAAUGAUAGAAGGUCAACAAUGGGCUAUGUAUUCUUUGUUGGAGUGGGAGCAAUUUCAUGGAAUUAUAAGAGACAACCAACAAUUGUAAGGUCAACAAUGGAGGCGGAGUACAUGGCAGCUAUGGUAUAAUGGAGGCAAUAUGGUUGAGAUAACUUUUAGAGGACAUUAGAGAUGUGCAAAUGGAAGCAACUCCAAUGGAGAGUGACAAUCAAGGAUGUCUUGUAUUUGUAAAGAAUCCAAAGCAUCAUUCAAGGAUCAAACACAUUGUCAUUCAACAUUACUUUAUAAGAAAGAAGAUUGAAAUGGGAGUGAUUGAUAUGAUGUAUUGUGCAACGGAGGAAAUGCUUGCUGAUUUGUUGACAAAGGCAUUAGUAAAAGAUAGACACUAUAUGUUGAAAAAGGUAUUAGGAUUAAAAUCUAUUUGACCAAUAGCAAAGUGGGAGUGUGAAAAUAAAAGUAGAAUAAGUUAUCUUAUAGAGGAUAUUAACUUAAAUAAGUUGCUAGUGGUCAAAGGUUUGAUUCUUGGUAUAUGGUAAGGGCAUCCAAUGGAUAUAGAACAAAAUCAUGGACUAAGAGUCAAAGUCAAAAGGAUAAAAUAUUAACAAGGAAAUAUCCAAAGACUAGGUAUAAGUCAUAAGUGUGUGUUAUGGGAUACCCUCAAGCCUCAUGAGAUGCCAAAAGGAUCUUAGGACCACGUGCGUAAAAAUCAAAGAGUGAAAGUUGUCUUUUAGGCCAGCAAUCACUACUUAUAAGUAAUGGAUAUUGGAAGUGAGAGAUAUCUUAUUCCAUACUCUCUUUGUGUGCAACCUUAUUGAUGCUAAGUAUUGUGUCUUCAAAGUGCUUGUUCUCCAAUAAAUGGCACAUUUUUUACCACACACAAAAUCUAUUAUAGGUGAAGAAAUUGCUAAGCUUUUCUUUGAUAAUAUCUAUUGAUAUCAUGGAUUGUCAAAGAUAUUAUAUUAGAUAGGGAGAUUCAAUUUGUAUCAAGAUUUUGGAGAAUUCUUUUUAAAAUUUUAAAGGUGGAUAUAAAGCUUUUUUCAACUUUUCAUCUUCAAACUGAUAGAGAGAUAAAGUGCAUAUAUUAAGUUUUGAAGCAAUACUUAAGAUGUACUAUCAAUUAUUAAUAAGAUGAUUGAAGAACCUUCUUGCCAUUGGCAGAGUUUGCUUAUAAUAAUACAAUGCAUUCUUCUAUAUAACAAACAUAUUUUUUUGCCAAUUAUGAUUACCAUCCAUAACUUGGUAUUUUUGACUUUUCAAAAGUUAAUAAUCUUGUGAGAAAAGGUUUGGCAAAUUCUUUGUCAGAGCUAUAUGCAACAAUGAAGAUGUAAUUAAAAGAAAUUCAAAAACAACAAAAGAUCAAUUCGGAUGCCUAUUAAAAAGAACAAAUACAAUUCAAUAUAAGAGACAAGGUAUGAUUAUUUCAUUGUUAUAUCAAGACUACUCAUCUUUGUAAUAAAUUGAACUAUUAUAGGCUUGGACCUUUUUUUAUUUGUAGACAAAUCAAUCCAUUUGCUUAUUGAUUAUAUCUACCGGAGGCAAUGAAGAUCCAUCUUAUCUUCCAUGUGUCUCUUCUUGAACCAUACAAGACCAUGAACAUUCCGAGAAGAAAACAAGCUCCACCUCCUCUUAUAAAAGUGGACAAUAGUAAAGAGUUUGAAGUGGAAGAAGUUCUAGACUCAAGGCAGUGCCAAAAUAAAUUGGAAUAUCUUGUCCAUUGGUGUGGAUAUGAUAUUAAUGAAAGCACAUGCGAGCCAAUAAGAAAUCUUAUAAAUAUUAUAAAGGAAGUGGAGGCUUUUGAUGGAUGACAUCUAUCUAAAUUAAGAUGAAGAAUAUUAAGUCUUUACUAUAAAAGAAAUAAGGUUCAAGAAAGAUUGCAAAUUAUUUAUAUUUGUGACAAUAGGAAGAUAGAGAACUAAUAACCAGUAGAUUUAUUUCAAGAGCUUUCAUUUACAGACUUAUCAAACAAGACAUUAUGAUUGUCACAACCUUCAAGAUGUCAAAAUUGAGAUGAAGAUUUUCAAGAAAAACAUAUCAUACUUUAAAUAGACUAUGAGAUACAACAAGUUUGACAUCAUGACUUUAGAAGAGACUUCUAAUGUUUGGUAAUUUUAUUAGAAUUAGAAACAAUUCAUAAUGGUAUUCUAAAUAUUUUAUUUGAAAGAAGUUACGAAGGCCUGAAUAAUGUCGAAAUAAUUGAGUGGUCUUCUUGCCUUAGUAUAAGACACUAUCGAUGGCUGAAAAGGCCUAUCAACUAUCUCAGAAGAGAACAAAGAUAGGAGUAUGUGGCAAAUAUAAUUUACUACAUCUUGUAUUUCUUCAACAUAUGAAGACGGCAUCUCAUAGAAUUCAUCCCUAAAAAAGGAGGUAAUGUCUUAGACAUAUACAUGUAAACUUGUAAUUAUUUAUAUGAUUAGAUAAAAAUAGAUUAAUUCCAAAAUAUAGAUUAAUUCCAUAAUUACCUAUAUAAUUAAAUAAAAAUAGAUUAAUUCCAUAAUAUCUUCUAUAGAAGCUUCUUAAAAGCUUUAUAGACAUUGCUUUUACUUUAUAGGUAUCUUUAAUUGGCUUUUUAGAUUAAAAAUAUGGUCAAUAAGUUGGCCAUGUGCCUUACAUAUUGGUAGCUUGAAAAACAAGCUAACUAUAUGGCCCACAUAUAAAAAACUUGCCCUGUAAGCUAAAGUAUGUGUCUUGUAAAGUCAAUACAUAUUAGAGGUCCUAUAGAACAUUACUACGUAGCUUUUAGUUAGAUAGUAUAUAUAGAGGCAAGAGUGAAGCCUUGUUCAUUCUUGUCAAUUUUUUUCUUUCUUCUAGUCUUGAUUGAAAAGUCUCUAAUUUCCUUAUUAUUUGGUAAUAGCCAUUCUAAUUUUUUUUUAAUAUACAUUCAAUUUUAUAUCUAUUUUGUGACUUUUCUUUUGAUACAAAUUUUCCAAGUUUAUGCAUCAUCUUCUAGUUCAUGUUCUUGACAUGUAUAAGACCUCUAAAAUGUGUUAACUUUGCAAGACAUGUAUCUUAACUUGUAAGGCAAUUUUUUCACAUGUAUACUAUAUAGUUAACUUCUACCAUAAGCUAUCAAUAUAGAAUUAACUUAUUGACCAAGUUUUUAUCCUAUCAAUUAACUAUAAACAUAUGUAAAGUCAAAACAACAUCUUUGAAGCUUUGCUCGGCUAAUAUUAUGAAAUAAAUCUACUUUUACAUACUUCUAUAUAAUCAUAUAUAUUAAUAUUAGGAUAAAUAUGUAUAUUCAUGACAUUACCUUUAUUUUUAGAAACAAGUUCCAUAAGGAGCGAUCAUCAUAUGUUGAAAAAAUCCAAUAUGCAACAAAUUGUGUUUGCCACAUAUUCUAAUUUUUAUUUUUUUCAAAGAUGGUUGAUAGGUAUUUUUUAGCCAUUUAUAAUAUUUCAUAUUAGGAUAGGAAGAUAACUUUCUUAUUUGAUCAUUAUUGAGGCCUUUAUAACUUUUUUUAAAUAAAAUAUUUAAAAUACUAUCAAGAGUUGUUUUGACCUCUAAUAAAAUCACCAAAAAUCAAAAGUUCCUUCUAAGGUUGUGAUACCAAACACGUAGUAUGUUACCAUCAAUUCAAGGAAGGAUGUGUCAUUUUUGAAGAUCUUCAUCUCAAUUUCGUAGUCUUGAAGGUUGUGACAAUUCUUUGUUGUUCUUGAGUUUUUUUUAAUUGUACUUUCAUGGUUGCAUAUAGUUUUAACAAACGAUUUACCAAAUAUUUUAUAGUAACAUUAUCAAAUUUUUAAAAUUCAAAAGUUUCAAGUCAUAAAAAAUAACCAUAAUUGAAAAAUUUAAAUGUUUGUUGAGUAGAAGAAUAUAUCAAAUUCUUAUAUUCAAACUCUAUCAAUGGUAAAAGAAUUUUUUAAUAAUCUUGAUGAUAGUUGAUGGUACAAUUCAAAUAUUGAUCCAAAACUUGAUUCAUGUUUUUUUAUUAGUUUAAGGAUAAAAAGUUGAUGAGAAUUUUAUAUCAAAUUUUAAUAUCUUAAAAAAGAUUCUUCAAAAUCUUAUUAUAAAUUAAAACUUUCUAUUUGAUAUAAUAUCCUCGAAUAAUCCAUGAUAGCAAUAGAUGUUAUUAAGCAAAAGCUUAGCCAUUUCUUCAUUUGUGAUAGAUUUUGGAUAUAGUACAAAAUAUGCCAUCUUGGUAAAACAAUCUACUAUCACAAAUGUAGAAUUACAAACCUAAGAUUAGAAGAUCCAUGAUAAAAUCCAUAGAAACAAAAGAUCAUGAUUCUUCCAAAAUAAAUAAUGGUUGAAGAAGUCUUUAAGGUCAAUGACGAGUAGUUUUGAAUCUUGAAUAAAUAUCACAUGAUUGUACAAAGUCUUUAACUGCCUUCUAUAUUUGAGGCUACUAAAAAACUCUAGAUAUUAAUUCUAAAGUUUUAUUGUAUCCAAAAUGUUUGGUUAUUAGAAAGUCAUGACAAGCUUAAAGAACACAUAAUUGUACUUUAUCUUCUAAAAUAUAUAAUCAUUCCUUAGAAUAGAACAGAUUAUUUUUAAACUCAAAUUUAGAAGUAUCAUGAGACUUAAAAGAAUUAUUCUUCAUAUCAUGAAUAAGAGGAUUAGAAGACAUACUUCAUUGAAUAUGCUUGACAAAGGUUGUUAAAAAUAUUUUUUCUUAAAGAGAAUUGUUCUUUAUUAUUCAAAAGCUAUAUAUCCUUCUUUUAGUAUAAAAUAAGAAUGUCUAAAAAGGACAUCUAAUAAACCUUGUUGUUUUCUAAGACUAUAAGUGAUCAUGAAAUUUAAUCUUAAUAAAGACAUAUUUCAACAAGCUUAGCAGUGAUUUGAAUCACAUGCCAACAUGAAGUAUAUGAAGUUCUUAUGAUUUGUAUAUACAAUUUUUAGAUUAGAAGUACCUUUUAGAUAAUGAUGUAAUUCUUGAAAUGAAUCUAUAAUUGCAAGAACUUCAUUGUCAUGGAUCUCGUAAUUAAUCUAUGUUCCUAAAAAAUAAUUUGGAAUAAACAGCAAUUGGGUGGAGCUUAUUAUAUGCUCUCAUUUGUGAUAAAAAAACAUCUAUAGCAAAGUCCAAUGUAUAUGUUUCUAUGAAGAACUCUUUAGAAAAAUUAACAUGAUAUAAAACUAAUGCAAAAAUAAAUGUUGUCUUUAAGGCUUCAAAAGAUGUUUUUGCUUCUUUGCUCCACUCAAGUUUGUCUUUAAAUAUCAAAUAUAUAACAGGAAUUACAAUUGGAGAAAAGUUCUUGAUGAAAAUUUAAUAAUAAUUAACAAAAUUCAAAAAAUAUUACACAUCUUUGAUUAUUUUUGGACCUUCUAAUUUAUGAUAGUUUAGACUUUGUUAUGAUCCAUAAUUAAUUUUUUGUUAGAAAUGAUGUAUCUUAAAAAAUCAAGAUGAAGAAUAUAAAAUAUAUACUUUAAUCUUUAUAUAUAAUCUUACCUCUCUAAGUUUUUGUGAUAUACAACAAACAUGAAGUUCAUAUUCUUCUAAAUGUUUAGACUAGAUUCAAAUAUCAUUUAAAUAAAAGACAAAAAAAUCAUCAAGAAACUCACAAAAGAUAUCAUUCAUGAGAUGUUAAAAAAUAGUUGGUACAUUUGUGAGUCCAAAAGACAUGAUAUUAUAUUUAAAAUAUCCAUACCUAGUUAAAAAAGUAGUCUUUUACUCAUCUCCUUCUUUAAUGUAGACUAGGUUAUAUGCACUUUAUAGAUCUAUUUUUAUAUAGAUCUUUAUUUAAUUUAAUUGGUCAAGAAGUCUUGAAAUUAAAGAUAAGAAAUACUUAUUUUUGAUGGUAAUCUUGUUAAGUCUUCAAUAGUCUAUGCACAUCUAUAGAGAUCCAUUUUUUUUCUUCACAAAUAAGAUAGAAGCUCUUGUUGGAGAUUUUAAGUGGCACAUGAAGUUUGUAGCCAAGUUCUUGUUAAUGUAUUCUUUUAAUAUAGCCAAGUCAUUUUAUAAUAAGUUGUAGAUUGGUCCAAAUGGUGGUUGAGCUCUUUUUUGUAGAUGAAUUGUACAAUCAUAGGAUUGAUGCUCUAAAAAAAUAUUUGUAUUCUUUUUUUCAAAAAUCUCUUAGAAAUCUUAAUAUUAGCUAUAAACACUAUCUGAGAUCUUUCUACCAUCAAAAAUGAAUGUGGCAUAUAUAGCAAAAGAUGGCCCUUCUUUUGCAACAUACAUGAAAGCUCUUGCUUCUAUCAAUAAAGAUCUAGAUGUAUUAGGCUUAUGUAUUUCUACUUUACUAUCAAAAUUUUGGAUUAAAUUAUAAAAAAAAUAAAAUUAUAAAAAAUCUAAUAUUUUUUAGGAUUAUAUAUUUUUAACUAUAAUAAUCCUAAAAUAACUAGAUUAAAAGGAGAUCUUAUCACAUUAAAUAUUAUUAUAUUAUUAUGAUCUUUAAUUAAUAUAUCUAAAGAAAUAAUCUCAUAAAUAACAUCUUUAAAAGAUAAUAAAUGACCAUCUAUAACUUAUAUAUAUAUAUAUAUAUAUAUAUAUAUAUAUAUAUAUAUAUAUGGAUUUAAUUUUCUUGAUUAAAGGUAUUUAUUGCUUUUUAAUAAAGUCUUUGUCUAUAAAAUAUGUUGAAUGAAACAAAACCAAUCUAUCUUGAGAGUCUAAGAUCCUUCUAAUUUAUAAUAAUAUAAAAUCUCAUCAUAAAGUAGGACAAAAUAGACCAGAACAAAACUAAACAAAACUAAUCAAAAUAAGACAUAGAAGAUAAAACUAAGAAAAUAGAAAUAAAAUAGAACAGAAUUAAACAUAAUAAUAUAAAAUCAAACUUUACUAAGAAAAAAGAUUUAAAGCCAUACUUAACUAAACGCCCAAAUGACCUUAGCCAAUGUUAUUUAUACUUUGUCUAAUCAUCUUAGAACUUUUUAGAAUGUUCUUAAUGAUAGAUCCUAUAUAGUCCACUAACCUCGAUUCAAUUCAAGAAACUUCUAUAACUUCUUGAAAUAGUUCCAAUUAUCUAUUCCUAUGUAUCAAUAAUAUAAAUAUCUUAUCUAUAUAUUGUUACAAUUAAUCUCCCUCUAUUAAUGCAAAACGUCCUCAUAUUACUCUCUAUGGUAUCUCCAAAUUAUUUCUUGGUAAUAGGUUGAGUUCUUUAUAGAUUUGUACAUUGCAUCAUAGAUGAGAUAACAUUUUCAAAGAACUUUGUAUUAAAGUUGUGAAUGUCCACUACUACAACAAAGAUAGUGAUGCUCCAAAAUAUUAUCUACUUCAUACUCAAAUUGAUCAUCAAUUAUGAUUGGUAGAAGUGGUAAUUGAUGUUGAUUUCGAAAGUGCUUUAGCUUAGUAUAAAAUUCUUUCAAUUGUAAAAUAUGAAAGAUUGGAUGGAUCCAAAUAUGUGGCGGAAGUUCAAGGUAAUAUAUGACAUCAAAAAUCACUACAGAAAUGUGAAAAGGUCCAAGCUAUCAAGGUGUCAGUUUAAGGAUUUAGAUUGAUGUAGCAAGUGGCAAGUUGGCAUUAGAAAUUAAUAUGUAAUUACCUUCUUAGAAGAUCUUGUGUUGCUAAUGGUUAUCUUUAUAUUACUUCUUAUAAUUUUUUGUAAUAAAAAGGUAAUACCGUACCUCUUGUAAGGCCAUUUUAAGCUGUUGUAUAAACUCUUCCAUUUUUAAAUUGUAAGUAUCAAUGGGACAAUGGAAAAUUAUUGGCAUAAUCAGAUAUUGAGCAAUGUUAAGAAAAAAUGGUGAAUGAUCAGUAUUUUCUUGAAUACUUUCAUUGUAAGCAAACUCCAAAGGCGUCAAAUAUUUAUCCCACUCAUUAUGAUGAACUACCACAAAUGCUUAUAGCAUAUCUUUUAAGGUUCAAUUUGCACGCUCUAUUUAUCCAUCUAUUUAGAAAUAGAAGGCCAUAGAAAUGGCAAGUUAUGUACUUAAUAGCUUAAACAAGGCUUAUCAAAAAUUUCUCGUGAAGCAUAAAUUAUAAUCUAAAAUGAUGAUACAAAGUAAUCCAUAGUGAUAAAAAAUAAUAUCAAAGAAGAUCCAUGUAAGUUUUGAAGCUUCAAUAUUUGAACAUACUAUGACCAAGUAAAGUUAUCUUUGAGAGUCGAUUCACAAAGAUGGAAAUUGCAGUAUAAUUAUGAAACAUCCAUGGCAAAUUUGUAAUGAGAUCUAUAGUUACUUGCUCUUAAUUUGUUCUAGAAUAUUUUCUAGCCUUAGAUUUUUAGAUAUUGGAAUGUUAUGUUCCUCUUAAAGUAUGCGCAUCUAGAGUAUAAUAUUGUCAGAUACAUAAAUUUACUUCUUAAAAUAGAAUAAGUCAUUACUAAGACUGUAAUAGCAAAGUUGGAAGCAUCAUUAUUAAGUGUACAAUGAAGAUUGAAAUCAUGUGAUUUCAAUGUUAUAAUAAUGAGUACCUCGUUCAAUUUAUCAAAGGUACUUUGCUACUUUAGUUUCCAUUCAAAUGGAGCACCCUUCUCUAAUAGGUUUGUCAAUGAGACAAUAAUGUGUAUAAAUUAUUGAAAAAAAUGAUAAGAAUAUCUAAUAAGGCCUAAAAAUGAAUGAACUUUAAAAACAUCUUUGAAGGUUGGCCAAUCUUCUACUACUUUUAUCUUAUCUUGCUCCAUGUGCACUUCUUUGGGAGAUACUACAUGUUCCAAAAAAAUGACUUCCAACUUCUAAAGUUCACAUUUUUAUUGAUUGCAAUAGAAGCGACUAUCUUGUAGUUGACACAAAACUUCUUCUAGUUGUUGCUCAUACUUCUAAGGGAUUUUAUUAUAUAUGAAGAUAUCAUGAAUUAAAAAAACUAUAUACUACGUUGAAGAUCUAAUUUGCUAAAGAUAAUUGUACCUUAAAAUUGAUCAAAAAGAUCAUCCACAUAUAGAAUUAGAUAUGCAUUCUUAAUAGUCUGCUUAUUCAAGCCUCAAUAGUUGAUGCAAAGACAAAGUCUACCAUCCUUCUUGAGUGCAAGAAUAUAAGUGCUUUCUAUGGUGAUGUACUUUCUCAAAUGAGGCUCUUUUUCAAAAAUUCAUCAAAUAUCUUUUGUAAAUCUUUAAGUUUAUUUAGUGUUAGGCAAUAAAUUGAUCGACUUAUCAAUUUAACUCAAAUCAAUAGUUCUAUUUGAAAGAAGGUAUCUUGAUUAAAAGGUACACCACUACAUAGGUUGCUUGAAAAAAUAUUCCAAUAUUCAUGUAUGAAUUGCUCUACUUAUUUUAUUCCUUUGGUUGUCUUUUCUACCACUGAUACAAGUUUUGGAAUCACCAUAUAUAUAUAUUCAUUGCUUAUGUUAUAUUUUCUUCCUUAUAAAGAUCAUCUCUACAAAUAAGUCUUUAAUUGUAGGUUAUUUUUUCUCUUCAUUUGAUAUAGAAGUAUAAAGAGUUACUUUGCAUCUAUGAUCUUUAAAGGAGAUUUUUCUUACUAUCCAAUCAAUUUAUUUAUUUACCAUCUUUAGCCAUAAUAUGCCAAAGAUAACAUCAUAUCUAAGCUUUAUUAUCUUGAACUUCUCUCUUAAGACAUAUGUGUUAUUCAACUUCAAGAUUUUUUUUUUACAUGUCUCAAUCAAUAUGUUCUCUUAAUUAUCUGCAAGGAAUAUAUUACCUAUUGUGAUUAUCUUAAUUUUAAUUCUAAGUUGAUCAAUAAUUUCAAUUAAGAUGUAAUUUUUUAUACAAACAUAAUGCACAAGCACUUGAUAUCGUUAUUCUUUUAGUAAUCCAGUUAGAUAUACUAAUCGACUUUUUUUAUAAUUAUCUAAGGCCAUAUCAUUUGUCUCUAAGAAAUAAUAGCUAUCUCUAGUACUAUUGAAGAAAUAGAACUUUGAAGUUACAAAAUAUAGCAUCAACAAGUUUGUACACAAAGAGAAUAUGGAGUAAGAUAUUUCUUACUUUCAACAUCUAGUACUUAUAGGUUGUGGUUGUUGUCCCAUAAGACAACUUCCACUCUUUGACUUUUACACACAUAAUCUUAGGUCCUAAAAUCCUUUAGAAUCUAACGUAUCUCAAAGGUAUCCUAUGGUCCUUGGAUCCUUUAGUAUCUUACUAACCACAAAGGUAUCCUAUUCCAAACAUGUAUUACUCUUACCUAGUCUUUGAAUAUUUCUUAGUUCAUACUUUAUCCUCUUGACUUCGACUCUUGGUCCUUGACCUUCUCCUAUGUCCAUAGGAUGCCCUUUCUAUAUACCAAGAAUCAAUCCUCUCACCAUUAGCAACUUACCUAAAGUAAUACCUUUUACUACAUAACUUAUCAUACUUUUACUUACUUACUUCAACAAUUAUUGGUCCUCAGUACCUAUCAAGGACAAAAACAUAAUAAAGACAAAUAAACAAGUGAGGCUUCUUUCAAAGAAAGAUGAAAAUAUAGAAAUAACUUGAUAUGUAUAUUAUAAAAGAAAAUGGAAUGGCUAUUGCCAAAAUACAAGAAAACUAGAGACCCUUGAAACUAGACUGGAAGUAAGAAUGGAGAUGAGAAGAGUGAAGAAGGCUUCAGUCUUAUCUCUAUGUAUACUAUCUAACUAGAGGCUAUGUUGCAACAUUCUAUAAGACCUCCAAUAUGUAUUGACUUUGUAGGACACAUGCCUUAACUUACAAGGCAAGUUUUUCUAUGUAUGGGCCACAUAGUUAGCUUGGUCUUCAAGCUAACAACAUGUGUGGCACAUGGCCAACUUAAUGACCAUGUUUCUAAUCCCAAAAAGUCAAUUAAAGACACCUAUAAAGUCAAAGUAAUAUCUAUGAAGCUUUUAAGAAGCUUCGAUAUCAAAUACUAUAGAAUUAAUUUACUUUUAUCUAUUUUUACUUACUUCUACUUAUUUAUAUAUGUAAUUAUUGGCUUACAUGUGUAUGUCUGUGACAUUAUCCUCUCUUCUAAGAACGAGUUCCAUGAGAAGCGGUAAUCAUAUGUUGAAGAAAUCUAUGAUGCGACGAAUUAUAUUGGCCACAUACUCUGAUCUUUGUUCUCUUCGAAGAUGAUUGAUAGGGCCUCUCAACCAUCCGUAGUGUCUCAUACCAGGGCAGGAAGACUGCCUAGUUAUUUGAUCAUUGUUGAGGCCUUCAUAACUUCUUUCAAAUAAAACAUUUGGAAUACCAUCACGAGUUGUUCUUACCUCUAAUAAAAUCACCAAACAUCAGGAGUCCCUUCUAAGGUCGUGAUACUAAAUUGCAUCGUCUUGAAGGUUGUCACAAUCAUAAUAUCUCAUCCCGUAGGUCUGCAAAUGAAGGCUCUUGAGUCAAAUCAGUUAGUUGUUGGUUCUCCAUCUCCUUAGUAUCACAACUAGAAAGAAACUACAAACAAGGAUAGAAAAUAGAAUGUUAUCUUAUCUAGUUCUUAUUUCUUUUAUAAAAAAGAUUUUUAUCUUAGUUUUGAUGGACGUUGUUGAUGAAAAGCCUCCACCACCUUUGCUGAAUUUCUAAGAUUCUUUACUGGCUUCCAUGGACGUUCUUUAGUAUCAUAUCCACGCCAAUAUAUAAGAUAUUCCAAUUUAUUUUGGCGCCGCCUUGAAUUUAAGACUUCUUCCACAUCAAACUCUUCAUAAUUGUCCACUUCUAUAGGAGGUGGAGCUUGUCUUCUUCUUGGUAUGUCCAUUGUCUUAUAUGGUUUAAGAAGAGAUACGUGGAAUACUGGAUGGAUUUUCAUUGACUCCGGUAGAUAUAAAUGAUAUGCAACUGGAUUGAUUUAUGCACAAAUAGAAAAUGGUCCAAGCUUUUGAUAUUCCAACUUAUCACAAGGACAAGUGGUCUUGAUAUUGCUACAAAGUAACCACACCUUAUCACCCAUGUGGAAUGGUGGUUGUUUGUUUUGAUAGACAUCCGCAUUGACCUUUUGUUGUUCUUGAGCUUCUUUUAACUGCACCUUUAACGUUGCAUGUAGCUCUGACAAAUGAAUUGCCAAAUCUUUCGCAGCAGAAUUAUCAACUCUGAAAAGUCAAAAGUAUCAAGUCAUGGAUGAUAACCAUAAUUAGUAAAGAAAGGUGUUUGUUUUAUAGAAGAAUGUAUCGUGUUAUUGUAAGCAAAUUCUGCCAAAGAUAAAAGAGUUGUCCAAUCAUCUUGUUGGUAGUUAAUGGUACAUCUUAAAUACUAUUCCAAAACUUGAUUAAAAUGCUCUGUUUGUCUAUCAGUUUGAAGAUAGAAUAUCCAAGAUAGUUUUAUAUCUACUUUUAGAAUCUUGAAAAGAAUCCGCCAAAAUCUUGAUACAAAUUGAGUUCCCCUAUCUAAUAUAAUAUCCUUGGGUAAUCUAUGAUAGCGAUAGAUAUUGUCAAAAAAGAGCUUAGCUAUUUCUUCACCUGUGAUAGAUUUUGUACAUAGUACAAAAUGUGCCACCUUGGUAAAACGAUUUACUAUCACUUAUAUAGAGUCAUAAGAAUCAGAGAUUGGAAGGUCCGUUGUCAUAUGGCGGGAUAUGCUAUCUGGAAAUACAUUGGGUAUCUAGCUGUAGAGAGUGUUGCUUAAAUCUUUGUAUGAUUCUUGUCUUAGCUUCCAAAAACUCUUUUAUUUUUGUAUAAAAAUCCAAAUAUAACAAAAUCCUUUCAAAACAUAUUUUUUCGGCAAAGGAUUUUCUUGCCCCAAACUUCAAAAAAUCAUAACUCUUGAUCUAAUUGUUCAGUUUUUCUCAAAUAUACAAGAUAAGUAGAAUUUACCCUUAACUUUUACCAUAAAAAAACCAACUGCAAAUUCACUCCCGAUCUUCUGGCAUCUAAGAAAUCCUAGUAGACACUCUAAACCCUAAUUUAUAACCAUCCAAAAAACUAUUUUCCUUAUAUCUCAAAACCCAAACUUCAAAUUCCACAAAAAUUAUGUAAAAAGCUUUAUAAUAAGAUUAUACACAAUCUUAGAAAUUUUGAGCCAAAACCUCUUCUAGUUGUCUAAGAUAUAGCUCAAAUCACAAGCACAAGUAAAUUGGGCUACUUACUACCCUUAGAUUCCAAGUGCUGACUUCAAAAUCCAAUAACUCCUUCAUUUCUACUUGGAAUCCAAUAAACAGUAUGUGAAAAAUAUAGCCGCAAAAGUGUUCUCUUCAGUUGUAGUCGUCGAUCCUCAAUUGCUGUCCGUACACAUGCGUUAUGUCCAAAAGAGUGACAGUAGGUCCAAAACUAACACCUUAACUUUGAGCACUUGUAUCUCCUUCAUAUAAACUCCAAACUAUAUAAAACUUGCACCAAAAUCAUAGCCAAAAAGCUAAACCUUGUGACUCUAGCCUUCAAAACUCAAAUGGCUUCGAGAAACUAACCCUAAUUCCUAAUAUGGCCUCGAGCAGCCUCCUCAAAGCCCAUUGGUCAUGAUUUUUGACCAAUAGGAAUGGAGAUUUUUAUUAUUCAUCUCCAUUCAUCUAUAUUGGUGCCCUAAUUACUUCUUUUGCUAUCAAAAUCCUUCUUCAAUUCUUUUUCUUAUAAGAUUUAUAUAAUUUAUGCUCUAAACACCAAAUAAAAGAAUCAAAAUAAAUUUUCAAAGGUCACUAAUGUCUAAAAAAGUUAAAUCUAUAUAUUUAGAAGUUACUAUGAACUAAACCAAUCUUAAAAGCCACUAUCAAAAAAAAAAUUAAAGUUAUACAAAUUCUAUAGUAGUCUUUUUAAACAACCUCUUUUCAGGAUAAUAACCAAAUUAUAACCUAUAAUCAACUAAAAUCUACUAACAUAGCUCUUACCAUGUUACUUAAUAGAUUAUAUAUUAAGUACAUAAUUACAUUAUUUUCAUAUAAUAGCUGAACCACAACACGACACCAUGAUGAAAUCCAUAGAAAUAGAAAACCAUGGUUGUUCUAGAAAUACUUAAGAUACUUAGAUGUUGAAAUGCUGCUGGUACAUUUGUAAGUCCAAAAGGUAUGACGUUGUAUUCAAAAUAUCCAUACCUUGUUUGAAACGUAAUCUUCCAUUCAUCUCCUUCUUUGAUGCAUACCAAAUUGUAUGCUUCCCAUAGAUCUAUUUUUGUAUAGAUCUUAGCUUCAUUCAAUUGAUCAAGAAGUCAAGAUAUCAAAGGUAGCGGGUAUCUGUUUUUGUUAGUGAUUUUGUUGAGUCCUCGAUAAUCAACACGCAUCUGCAAUGAUCCAUCUUUUUUCUUCAUAAAUAAAAUUAGAGCUCUUGUUGGAGAUUUGGAAUGGCAUAUGAAAUUCUUGGCCAAAUUCUCUUCAAUAUAUUUCUUGAGUUUAGCCAACUCAUUUUGAGAUAAUUUGUAAAUUGGUCUAAAUGGCAGUUAUGUUUCUUCUUGAAGGUCAAUUGAGCAGUCAUAGGAAUGAUGUUCUAGAAGAAUAUCCGCAUUCUUUUUCUCAAAUACAUCUUGAAAUUUUGAUAUUGGCUUGGAAUGCAACUUGAAGUCUUUCCACGAGUAGAAACAAGUGUGGCAUAAAUGACACAAGGUGAUCCUUCUUUUGCAACAUGCAAGAAAGCACUUGCACCUACAAAUAUAGGUUUAAUUAUACUAGACUUAUGACUUUUUACUUGAUUAACUACACUCUUAGUUAUACUUUCAGAAAAGUCAAGACUUGAAGAAGUUCAAUCUAUUUUAGGAUUAUAUUUUUUUAGCCAUGAUAAAUCUAAAAUGACUGGAUUAGAAAGAGAUCUAAUGAUAUUAAAUAUUAUAAAGCUACUAUGACCAUUAGUUGCUAUUUCUAUUGGAAGGGUUUUAUGAGUAACAUCUCUUGAAGACAACGAACGACCAUCUAUGACUUCUACAUGAACAAGUUUAGUUUUCUUUAUUAAAAGUAUGCUAUAUCGUUUAGUAAAUUUUUCAUCUAAGAAACAAGUUGAGGCUCUUGAAUCUAGCGUGGUAGAGGCUUUGAGAUAUUUAGGUCUUAGAAUAACAUUUAUCGUAAAACAUGGAGAAAGUUCUGAGGAGAGGAUAGGACCUUCACUAGGCAUUGUAGAAGGUUCCAGGUACACGGUGUCGUAUAACGUGCUUUCCUGCUCGAGAACGCGCCGGGCGUCUGGCUGUAGAAGGUAGUAUGGAGAUUCACCGAUAGUCAAGUAGUCUAUCAGUUUUUGACUGCUGGAAUAUAAACGACUGCAACAAUGUACCGAAAUCUAUACGGAUGCUCUUCGACUGCUUGUCGAAGUCUUUUUUUUUUGCCCCAGCCGAUAGGUCUCUAGACGUUACAGAGAACCCCGAACAACCCAAACUGUUAAUCUUCAAUACCCCUUUAUACUUACGAUCUUGUAUCCACUGACUGUCCUGUUAGAUUAAUCCAAUAAAUUUCAUUGACUCCGCAUACUCAAUCCUAUAGACACCCCUUUAAUCUUUCAAUCACAGACGUAACUCGAUUUUACAAAACAAUCAAGAGUAUUCAAACCCACUUCAUUUAAAAAUCCCGAUUCACCAUUACAACACUGACUUCAGCAGCGAUUGCCUCAGUCUUCCCAAAACUCUACGAAGAAGAAAAAUCCAAAUUCUAUGUCUUUCCUUCCCCGACCCGAAGCAUGAAGCUCCUCUCUCUAAUUCUCUUGAUCUUCAAAAACCUCCAAUGAAACCGAACUGGUAACCUUGCAAAAGCUUGAAAACUAGGUCCCCCUCGAUUCCCCGAAAGAAAAAACCUCCCCUCCCUAAAACUAUAUUCUCCCCUAACCUUAUCCUCUGAACUUCUUCAAUCUUCCAUCUUAGAUCCGGAAUUGGCUCCCGCCGUCAGAGCUUAGAUCCGAAAUUGGCUCACGUCAUCAAGGCCUUCUCCUCCGUUUUUUCCUUUAAGAGAUCCAUUUACCGUAAACAACGUUCUCUGAAACGCCACAGAGAACAGGACAGCCCGAAACAGAAUCGAAACCCCGUAAUCGGGACCACAUUGAGUCGCCCGACCAAUUCAGGUCCCAUAUUGGGUAAGAUGCCCGUAGUAACCUGGAUGCUCGCGUCAUUGGGUCAAAUUGGUCUUCGCGUCAGAUUGGCUGAGGCCCGUAGUAAGACCUGGAUUUUUCCGUAACUAGACUGCAUUGGGUUGCCCCACCAAUACAGGUCUCAUAUUGGGUAAGAGGACCCGGAUUGGAUUCUCAAAAUUGGAUCCAAUUGGCUCUUCAAAUCCGUCGUGUGAAUUGGUCCUUCUCAUCCUGCUAACUCCCGUUAUUAGAAUCGAAUGGAGCAUUUCAGUAUGCCCCGGCUGACUGUAACGGAGUGACUGAACCUGACCACUCAGUAUUUGCACUAGAGUUGGUCGAUGCUCCCAAUAUUCGAGGUAACUGAAUAUUAAUAAAAUUCCCCUUUCUUUUUAUUUUCACUGUAUACUCGUAUUACAACACGACAUCCACCCCCUGUGAACCUGUGCAUCCUCCGGUAUGCACCAAUUUACCCAAUUGCUGUUUGAUUCAGAAUAUAUCCUCUACGUAUUUGUCUAGUUUGUCUUCGUCACCUUCAUUAUCCAAAUCACUUUCAUCUUCUUGCUGCUGAAUCUCUAUACCUUCAUUAAGGUCUUCCAUAUUCAUCUCUGCGUGUCUUCGUUUAAAUAUUUUUACUCGCUUCCCUACAAUUGGUAUUUUCAAUUUUGUACCAUCUAACUCCCGUAAUGAGUAAGUCGCAUUAUCAUGAACAGUUGUUAUAACAUAUGGUCCAAACCAACGUUUUGAAAAUUUCUGCAAAGUACUAUGUUGAUUAUCCAGACUAUUGUCAUAAACAAGUACUCAGUCACCUUCCUCGAUUGCUUUUGGUCUCAAUCGAUGUUGCUUAUCGAAUCGCACCUUGUUUUGUAACCUUGCUCUUUUUAACCUUUUCAAUGCUAUCUGGACAUCUUCCGUUCUUUGCUCCAAUUGUCGAAUCCUAAUAGCCAGAAGUUCUUCUCUUGUCAAUCCAUCUUCCCAUGGUAGCAUACUCCAAGUAAGUACCUUUUCUUCAAUCGGCAUAAUUGGUUUUUGACCUGUCAUAAGUUCUACUAGCAUAUAUCCUGUCACCGAACUAUGUGUUAUUCGAUCAGCCCAUAAUGCAAAUGACAAAAGCCGUGGCCACUCUUUAACCUUCCCAUUACAAGCUUUAACCAAUGCUUUCACAAUCGGCGGAUGACCGCGUUCACUUUUUGCAUUCCCUUCCGGAUUAUAAGCAGUAGUCAGUGAUAGUUUAACUCCACAUUUUUCAAAGAACUUACGAGCUUCUUGUGCAUUUAAUUCUCCACGAUCUGCAGUGAUUUUUCCUACACACCCGUAACGAUAAAUGACAUCUUCAAGCAAAAACCUACAAAUCUCCUUUGUAGAUUUUGUCCUCAAUGCUCUUCCUUCUACUAGAUUUGAUAAAUCUUCACGAGCUAAAAUCAAAUAUCUCAUCUGCCAUAACCCAACCGGCAUAAUAACCAAAUCAACAACCCAUUUAAAAUGAAUAGCCAGAGGAUAUGUAGGAUGAAGACCAUCUCAAUGUCGGAUAUUAGAAUACGAUUGACAGAUUUGACAUGACUCUACAAAUGAGAGCACAUCUCGAUACAUAUUUUUCCACCAAUAUCGUUCCUUGAGUUUAGCAAAAGUAGCCCAGAUUCCUCUAUGCCCUGCCCAUAAACUAUCAUGAAACUCCUUUAAUAAUUUUAGUUUUUCUUCUCUUUUGUCUAUCACUCGUUGUGGCAUCCCAAUUCCUUUCUUCGGUCUCUUCCAUAAGAAUCCAUCUCGAAGUAAAAAUCCAUAUGCUUUUUUUUUUAUUUGUUUGAAUUUUUCUGUAGACCAAUUCCCCUGCUUAGACAAGGUAUUCAAAUAAUGACCAAUAUCCAAUAAUUCUCCUUCAUAAGAUUCUUCAAGAAAUAGCUUGUCUUCUCUGUUGAGAUUUGAUAUUGAAUAGAAUUUCAAUCCGACGUCAUUAAUGUCUUCAACCAUUUCGUCCUUGCUCUCGUAUCUUGCUCGAGAUAGCAUGUCUGCUACUAAAUUUUCCUUCUCAGUAACAUGCUUAAAUUUCGGAUUAAGUGACUUAAUAUAAGCAAUCCAUCUCAACAUUGCAAUAUCUGGCAUUGAAAGUUAAUAAUCAUUCCAAGUAAUGGCAAGCAAUCUGUUUCAAUUACUACUACUGCCCCAAUCAAAUAGUCCUUUUCAGCUUUCAUAGCCGAAACGACUCUCCAAAGUUCUCUUUUGACUUGCGAAUAUGCACGCUGACGAAUACUUAAAACUUUAGUCCCAAAUCGAACUGCAAAUCUACUCCCAUUCGAAUCAUCUUGACCCACCGCCCAUCCAACGGCAAUUGGACUAGCGUCUAUAGUAAGAAUCACUGGUCUAUUACACUUAUAAUCAACCUUCCUCAAUAUUGGAGGUGACAUCAAUAAUUUCUUCAAUCUUUGCAUUGCCUGAAUAUGCCUUUCUUUCCAUUCAAAUCGGUAACCCUUGCGUAACAGUUCAUAUAAUGGAUCCGCUAUGUGAGCAAAAUGAGGGAUCCAGAUUCGAUAAAAUACACAUGCACCCAAAAACCUGCGAACCUCUGUUAAAGAACCACAAUCUUCUUUCAUCCUUCCAAUUGCAUCAACUUUAGUCGGAUCUGGUUUUCUUCUGUAAGAUCCGCAUAAAUGUCCAACAAUUACAACCUCUCGCACUCCAAAUACGGACUUCAUACCCGAUAAUGUAAGAUGAACUUCUCCAAGCCGAGUUAAAAUCUUUUCACAAUCUUGUAUAUGAUCAACAACAUAUCUGCGACACCCCCUCGUAUCUAAAGUUUCAUCCUUGUCUCCUUCUCUACACCCCUUUAUAAGAACAUCAUCCAGAAAAGGCAUAGUCUUUUCCGGGAUAAAAUCUCUCAAUACCUUAUUCAUUCCAUUCAUCAUAUGCGCAACUGAGUUGGUCGCGCCUUGAGGAAGAGUGCACAUUCUAACCAAUCCAAGCGGUGUCCUCAUCGUUGUCAUAUCUCUACUUCCUUCGGCAAGUUGAAAUUGAUCAUAACCUGAAUAUAAGUCACCCAUUGAAUAGAUCGCCCUUCCAGCAAACGCCUAAGCAAAUUCAUCCACAAUAGGUCCAAUUCCUGCAUUCCUGACAGUUACAGCAUUCACCGGCUGCAUAUCUUGAAUAAACCGUAGUGACCCAUUCUUCUUAGGUACCGUAAAGCAUCGACUAGAAUACGGCACAAAUGAAGGUUCUAAUAUUUUCAUCUUUAUCUUUUCUUUCAAUAGUUCGACCAAUUUAGGUAAAUGUACCCUCGGUACUGGAAUCGGUCUUAGAUUCCAAGGUACAUGCGGUACAGUGAAGAUAACCAUAGGUGUUAUAAUAUUUGGAUCGACACACCCAAUUUCAUGAGAUUCGAAGGCAAACGAUCUACCUUGUUUAGCCAACAUCUUUUUGAAGCAAGUAAUUUCCUCCGGCAAUAAAGAACCAUCAGAACCAAUCUUCAAUUCUUCAAAAGUCUCUUCAGUAAACUGAUGUCCAAUACUCAUUGGAUCUCUUAAACUUGCUUCUUUUGAUGCUUCUCCCAUUUGUUCUUUAGAAUCCUCUGGUAAUGGUCCGGCAAUAGGCUUUACCUUCUUAUCUGCCGUUUUAUAUCUCGUCUCUACUAUGACUUCUGGUGCUUGAAAAGAUUCAAGCAUGGUAUAAACCUCUCUUGAAUGAAUCUCAACAAUCUUAUCAUUAUCCCCUAACCCAAUAGAUGUAAUCAAUUCCAAUGAAUCUUCCAGCCCAUUUUCUUCAUAAACACCCAAAAUCCUCUCAUCAUCUUGCAAUGUACCUAUCUUGCGUAACUGUCCUUCAAUAUCAUAUAAUCUUUUUCUUUCUUUUCUUUUAAAAUCAUCAACUUUCUUAUACAUAAUAUUUCCAUUCUCCAAUAUACCAAUAAAAUUCGCAUCAAAGGCACCUUCAUCUCGCGAGAGUACCUCCUCUUUUGUACCUCCAUAAUCUCGCUUUACAGUGGUACCUCCCCAAAAUCCUUAAAUCCUUCAACAAUCUUUGGCAAUGGUUUCUCCCUCAACCUAUCUCGAUUCCGUUCAUGGUUAGGAGGUACUGUUAGAAAUUGUACAGCUUUCCUCCCAUCUUCGCUCCGUACCCUUGCAUAAGCAGAACCAUCGUCAAGUACCUUUGUUUCCAUCCGUGUUGCCGUGAUAUGAGGUUGUCCUAAAAUCAACGGAUAAGACAUUGUAUCUUGAACGAAGAAAUGUUGCUCCGUCGCAACAUCCCCAAUCCGAAUUUUGACAUCUGGACAAGCUCCAUAUAAUUCGCCUUGUGUGUUAUUAGCUGCUCGUAUUGCCCAUCCAUGUUCCAUAUCAAUUGGCCAUUUUUGCUUCUUAUAAAGAUCUUUAGACAUGAGAUUUAUUUCAGAACCAUGGUCCACCAAAGCAACUAUUGGUUCUUCUAUAUCUCCUACCUUCACCAAUAUCUCAGUAGUUGCCCUUGCCCAAUGCUUUCGAGUAUAAUGGCUCAAAGUUUCCAUUUCCUUGUCACUACAAUCUUCGAAAUGUACUCGCUAAUUAUACCCAUUCUUUUCAUUUGUUGGUUGCUUGUAACCAAUAUCAACCUCUUCUUCAUCUCUACAUAUUCUUGCAUCAAUAGCAUGACUCAUUCCAGUUUCGCUCAUUAAUUGCCUCUUUCGCUUAAUGCUGUCAAUGAUAACAUCAUGAAACUCCUUCUUUGCAAUUCCCAAGACUUCUUUCAAUGUGAAUUCCACCUUAGCGUUUAAUAUACGUUCUUCCAACACCCCUUUCAAAUUUGUUGCCGCUUCAAUGUCAGAAAGUAGCUUAUAAGCAAUUGAUUUGCCCUUAUCUUUUGUCUCCGUUGUUUUUUCUCCCAAUGAUGCUGAGGUAUCGUUUACAGGCAAUUCUUAUGAAGCUGCCUCCCGAGCCUUGUCUCCUCGAGUUUGCCUCUUAAAAGAAUUUCCUUCUCUAGUAUCAUCAAAAUUUCCUCGUCUUUUUUCUUCCAUCAAAGCUUCAUGUUGGCUCUUAGCAAUAUAUGCAUGAACUGAAAGAGACUCAACGGGAUCCUCCCAACCUGUUCUUCCUCGUAUUGUAGCUGCAGUUCUCAAUAACGCUUCUCGAGGUAAUUUCCCUUCUUGCAUUGUAGAAACGGCAGAAGCCCAAAACUCACUAGUUUCCGUACUUCCACCAAUUUCAUCAUCUACUCUAGCACCAUAACUUGCACUUUCUCGUGCUACUGUUUCAUGCUCUUUUAAGUAAUCUUGAACCAAUGCUCUCAUUCCUCCCUUGCCAAAAUUGGUUUGAAGAAGAUCCUCCCUAUCUUUCAAUGCUAUCUUUCCAUCUUUCCAGCAAAUAAUUCCCUGCCGUAUCAUAUUAUUAAAUUCAUUGCAAUCUUUUCUAGUGUGUGAAGCAUCAUCACACCAAAUGCAUCUUUGUACAUAUCCUUGUUUUGAAACAUUCUUCGAAUUGUUUAUAGAAGUAUUCUCUUCAAGUCUUGCCAAUUUGAUUUGAAGAUCUCGUAUUCCUCGUAUAAUUUCUUCCAUACCCAUAUCUGCUUUCUUUGACAAGGAUGUCGAAGGUUGAACUGUAGGCAUUGUUGGUGGUGUUGUACGUAUUGGAGCUUUGGGUGCUUGUACUAUUUUCGGAAUAUUACUCCUAUCCUUCCUCCUUUCUUUUUUUGUAAGCAACCCCACCGCAUCUUCAACGUUCUUCCACUUCGUUGUCAAUCUUUCAUCUUCUUCUUUGUCUUCAAGAAGGGGUUCUAAUUUCUCUUGCAAUUCUCCAUCAGCAGCUUGAAGAAAUAGAUCAACUUUGUUCGGCUCCAAUGUCAAUUUUUCUACCUUCGAUAAUUGAGAGUACUGCCUCUCAAAUUCCCUUAGUAGCUCUGUUGCUUGCAAAUUCUUAUUGGGCCGUUCAAUCCAUCCCAGAAACAGCUUCUUAGUAACGCGAUCAGCAUCUUCCAAGAAAUAUUCGUCUUUCAAUGCAUGUGAAAAAUCCUGCCAUGAAUUCCCACAACGAUCCGUAAUCGAUGUAAUGUGGUCCCUUAUCUCCGGUAUCAUGGCAAGUCCAAAUAGUGCAACCAUUUUUUUCUCAGAAACCCGAUUUAAUUCCAUUUCACGAACAUAACAUCUUAAAUACCUUGAAAUAUUCCUCCCAUCAAAUUGAUCAAUUUUAUUGACCACUGCUUGCAAUGCUUUGGUUGCCAAAGCUUCUUUUCGAUCAUUGCUUUCAUGUUGCUGCAUUGACAAUGAGAAGGCUUGAAACAAACUAGCAAUAGAUGGAUCCAUGUGCAUACCUUGUCCUUUAGAAGACUCCCCACCAGAAACUUCUCCCAAAAAUCCUUCAAAAUUUUUAUUUUCGUUUUCCAUAAAAAUAAAGAUAAAAUCAACCGAAAUCUAAUACCUUCCACCUCAAGCUUUCACGUCGGGUUCACCACUUAUGUCGUAUUACGUACUUUCCUGCUCGAGAACGCGUCGGUGUCGUAUUACGUGCUUUCCUACUCGAGAACGCGCCGGGCGUCUGGCUGUAGAAGGUAGUAUGGAGAUUCGCCGAUAGUCACGCAGUCUAUCAGUUUUUGACUGCUGGAAUAUAAACGACUACAACAAUAUACAGUAAAUCUAUAUGGGUGCUCUUCGACUGCUUGUCGAAGUCCUUUUUGCCCCAGCCGGUAGGUCUCUAGACGUUACAGAGAACCCCGAACAACUCAAACUGUUAAUCUUCAAUACCCCUUUGUACUUACGAUCUUGUAUCCACUGACUGUCCUGUUAGAUUAACCCAAUAAAUUUCAUUCACUCCGCAUACUCAAUCCUAUAGACACCCUUUUAAUCCUUCAAUCACAGACGUAACUCGAUUUCACAAAACAGUCAAGAGUAUUCAAACCCACUUCAUUUAAAAUCCCGAUUCACCAUUACAACACUGACUUCAGCAGCGAUUGCCUCAGUCUUACCAAAACUCUACGAAGAAGAAAAAUCCAAAUUCUAUGUCUUUCCUUCCCCGACCCGAAGCAUGAAGCUCCUCUCUCUAAUUCCCUUAAUCUUCAAAAACCUCCAAUGAAACCGAACUGGUAACCUUGCAAAAGCUUGAAAACUAGCUCCCCCUCGAUUCUCCGAAAGAAAAAACCUCCCCUCCCUAAAACUAUAUUCUCCCCUAACCUUAUCCUCUGAACUUCUUCAAUCUUCCAUCUUAGAUCCGGAAUUGGCUCCCGCCGUCAGAGCUUAGAUCCGAAAUUGGCUCACGUCAUCAAAGCCUUCUCCUCCGUUUUUUCCUUUAAGAGAUCCAUUUACCGUAAACAACGUUCCCUGAAACGGCACAAAGAACAAGACAGCCCGAAACAGAAUCGAAACCCCGUAAUCGGGACCACAUUGAGUCGCCCGACCAAUUCAGGUCCCAUAUUGGGUAAGAUGCCCGUAGUAACCUGGAUGCUCGCGUAAUUGGGUCAAAUUGGUCUUCGCGUCAGAUUGGCUGAGGCCCGUAGUAAGACCUGGAUUUUUUCGUAACUAGACUACAUUGGGUUGCACCACCAAUACAGGUCUCAUAUUGGGUAAGAGGACCCGGAUUGGAUUCUCGAAAUUGGAUCCAAUUGGCUCUUCAAACCCGUCGUGUGAAUUGGUCCUUCUCAUCCUGUUAACUCCCGUUAUUAGAAUCGAAUGGAGCAUUUCAGUAUGCCCCGGCUGACUGUAACGGGGUGACUGAACCUGACCACUCAGUAUUUGCACUGGAGUUGGUCGAUGCUCCUAAUAUUCGAGGUAACUGAAUAUUAAUAAAAUUCCCCUUUCUUUUUAUUUUCACUGUAUACUCGUGUUACAACACGACAACGGUCCCUAUUGUAGCUGGAUGAAUUUGUUUUCUGACAUGCUAUUUUUUUAUCACCGUACUCUUUAUUUUAUAGUUGUAUUGCUUCUUUGGAUAAUGUUGAAUAGUGUAUUUAGGUUCUCAACAAUAUAAAGACAAUCCUUCUUGACGACGAUGAAUCUUUUUUUGCUCAGUAAGAGAUUUGAAAUAUACUGCAUCAAUUUGCAUAUCCUCUACUUCUGAAUAUAUGUGUUGAACAAAUGUUGGUAUUGCUAUUGAAUUAUAGUUACGUUGAAGUCUACUUGUACGGUUCUCAAAUCGAAAUUCAAAAAGGUGAUUGUCGUACUUCACAACAAAGUUAAUUACUUGACUCAAUGUUUGAGGAUCAGGUAAGUUGAGCAUUAAUUUUUUUAUCUCAUAUUAUAAUCCGUAGAAAAAUUGGCUAACAAGUGCAGUAUCAUUCCACUUGAUAUCAAUAGUAAGUUAUCAAAAUUAAGAAGCAUACAACAUUUUUGAUCAAUUGCCUUGUCGUAAAAUAUGGAUCUUAUUAGUUGCAACAUAAAUUGCAUCAUGUUCUCCAUACAUGGAUCGAAACUCCACCAAAAAAGUCUCUAGAUUAUCCAAUAUUGGAUCUCGUCAUUCAAAAGAAGAUGAAAACUAUGAUAGUACUAAACAUGAAAGAAGUGUAUCUAUGAAUCUAACUUGCAAUCUUGGAGUUGGAUAGCUUUGGGAUUGAAGUUCAAUUACAAAUUGUACUUGAUUGAUAAAUACUCAAAACUUGGAUCUGGUGGCAUCAAACUUCUCAGAUAGGGCAAUUCUUGGUUCUUUAACACUGGAAGGGCGUUCCACUAUAGGAGAAGGGACAUGAUUUGGUGCAAAUAUUGAAGCAACUCCAAACAUUUUUAUAUCUUCACUUCCUGCCAAUCUUGUUAUUCCUUGUAGUGGUAAAUUGAGUUGAUGCAUCGCAAGCCUUAACUCCCUCAAUUGCUCUUGCAUUUAUACCAUUGCACUCUUCAUUUCAGCAAGUUCUGCCAUGAUAACACUUAAAAAAGAGAAGAUGUCUAAUAUCGCUCAAGACAAAUAGAAGAGAGGACUUGAGAACAAAGAAAAUACUGAGGACAAUAUCAAUUUAGAAGAGGGUAAUCCACAAGUUCUAAUAUGCUUGUGUCUUAUCAAGAAAAAAGAGUAAUCCACUCUUAAUCUAGAUUAGACAAAGCUCUGAUAUUAAAGGUGUACUCUUGUCAAUCUAUCAAGGACAAAAACAUGAUUAAGACAAAUAAACAAGUGAGACUUCUUUCAAAGAAAUAUAAUAAAAUAGAAAUAACUUGAUAUGUAUAUUAUAAAAGAAACUGGAAUGGCUAUUGCCAAAAUACAAGAAAACUAGAGACCCUUGAAACUAGAUUGGAAGCAAGAAUGGAGUUGACAAGAGUGAAGAAGGCUUCACUCUUGUCUCUAUAUAUACUAUCUAACUAGGGGCUACGUUGUCAUGUUGUAACAUGACUAUAUGGUGAAAGGUGAUAAUAUGGAUCUUAUUAUAGAAGAGCCAAGUUAAAAGAAAAGGUAGAAAAAUAUAGAUAAAAGAUAGGAAGGUAGUAAAAUCUUUAAUAAUAAUGCUGCCCUUUUAGAAAAAAAUAGCUUCUAUUUACUUUGUAAGCCCAAAAAUAAGGCAAAAUAAGAUAGAUUGGAAAAAUAAAUGAUAUAAACAUCUUUAGGAGAAAGUUAAGAGUAAAUUCUAGUAAAAUUUACUUAAAAAAAACUAGAUGUUGAUACCCGGAGAAGGCCGAUUAUGAACCAAGGUCGAAAUCAGACCCUGAGGCAAAAAACUGAGUCUCGACGACGACUCCGGGACUCUUUGGCAAAUCGGAUAAUAGGAUUUGAUAGAAGAUUGAAUAGGGUUUUUAUGGGCAUUGAUUUUGGAUGAUUUGGAGUUGAUAUAACUUUGUAAGAACUUUGCAAAGUCAAGGUUUGUUUCAGAUGAUUUGGAUUUUAUGAAAUAAAAUAGAGUUUACAUUUUGGAUAAUUUCAAGUGUUUUGUAAUAGAUCUACAAGUGAAAUUUUGUAGGUUUAUGGUUAUAAUUGUGUGUAAUAUGUGUCAUGAAUUCAAUCUCGAUCUAACAAUUGAAUUGAGAGAUAUUCAGGUUUAAAUGGAUCAAGGUCUCAGAAAGUAGAAUUUUAGGUUCAGUGGGGGUUUUUAAGAUUUCUUGUAAUCUACUUGUUGGAUUGGAAUGAAACUUAUGUGAGAGGAUAUUAGAAUUGUUUUUCUAUAUGUAUGAGAAUUUUGAGAUCAAUCGAACGGUGUAAAGGAGAUAUAUUGGCUCUGGAAGAUUGGCAUUAAGAUUGGAGAAGGAUGCCGACCAAUACCCGAGCACAUUUUUGAGGUUAUCGUCAAUUUGGUAACUCCGAUCUUUUUUAAUUUUUUUGUGCUUGUUUUGAACUUAGUUUUUAAGAAGUAUGAAAAAUUUAAGUUAAGAUCGAUGGUUUAUUCAUUAGUUAUUGAGGUUUAAAUCUGUUAUAGGAAUUACUAGGAUUUGAUUUAGGGUUUAGGAUUUGGUUAGGAUUUAAUUUAGGAUUUAGGAUUUGAUUAGGGUUUUAUUUAGGAUUUAGGAUUUAAUUAGGAUUUGGUUUAGGAUUUAGGAUUUGGAUUAGGAUUUGGGAUUUGGGAUUUGGUUUAGGGUUUAGAAUUUAAGGUUUGGGUUUAGAAUUUGAUUAGGAUUUGGUUUAGGAUUUUAUUAGGAUUUAUUUAGGAUUUAAGAUUUAAUUAAUUUGGGCCUAAAGUUUGAAUGAAGUCCAAUAGGAUUUUAAUUAGGAGUAAAUUAAGAUUGAAUUGAGAUAUAUUUGAGAGAUAUUUGUGAUUAUUCUAAUAUUUCUUUAAGAUUUCUUAUUAUUUCUUUGAAUUUUUUUUGAGGUUUUCUUUGAAUUUGAUUAAGCUUGUUUAGCAUUAUUGUGGUCCAAUUAGAGCAUUUUUAGUAUUCUAUUAGAA
rnacentral:lncRNA from 1 species